rnacentral:lncRNA from 1 species
GCGGAAGUGGUGCUGCAGAUCAUAUCAGUUGCUGCAAUUGGGAUUGUUGCCGCAAUGAAGCAAGGUGCGGUUUCAGCUGUAACAAGAAAUUCAAUGGUUGUGCUGGGGGUACUUUCAUUCGUAUUGUCGCGGCUGUUAGCUCACUUCAUAUACAAAUACUUACGUUAUCAUGACUACAACCACGCCUUUCUCUGAAAUGUGUUUCCUUAGUUAUUCAUGUCAAUCAUUGUUAUGUAUAUAAUAAAGUGAAGUUGUAAUAAAACAAAGCUAGUAUUAUUGGUGUGAUUAAGAGUAGCUCUGGAACAUUUGUGUGGCUUAAAUAUGAGCAUUAAUCCAAGUAAAGAAGCCAUUAUAGGACCUGCAAAGUCUCUUAUAAGUUCAACUUCCCCAUCCAUAUACCCAUCAAUGCCAUUUGGAGAAUUGUUGCAGAAUUUUUUGAACAAGGGUUCUUACUUUGAACCUGAAAAACAGGAUGCUCGCGGUCCACCAUUUAUUUUUCAACUCACACAAACACUACCAUUGUAGAACACCAAAGCAAGAACACCCAUCAACAGCAAAAAUUUCUUUAUAUUUGUCCAAUAAAUAUGUUAAUAUGAGUUUAAAUGAAUGAUCUAUGUUAAUAUGAGCAUAUUAUUGUCGCUUGAAACACAUUUAUGUUUUCCAGAAUUUUAAUUUGUCUUAUGAACCAAUAAUAGAUCCGUGCGAGGGUUGUAACAUUACGACAAUAUAUUUUUAAAUUAUAGUUUGGAAAUCAAAAUUGGUUGCAUUUAUAAAUAUUUAAAUUGAAAGAAACAAUUACAUAUUUAUAUAUCAGUUAGAAUUUAUCCCGUGUAAAAUAGUUUUUUUGAAAUAUUUAUUAGUUAGAACUUGUUUCACAUAUGAUAAUUAUUUUGAAUUUUUUAUCAGUGAUAAUUUAUCCCAUAUAUGAUAGUUAAAAUUUAUAUAUCAGUUAGAAUUUACCCCGUGUUAAAUAAUUUUUUUGAAAUUUUUAUUAGUAAGAACUUGUCUCGCAUAUGAUAAUUAUUUUGAAAUUUUUAUCGAUGAUAAUGUCCUGUAUAUCAUAGUUAAAAUUUAUAUCAAUUAAAUUUUAUCCCGUGUAAAAUAGUUUCUUUUAUAAACUUUUUAUUAGUUAGCAAGAAAAAAGAACAGCAAGGUUAGAUUGUGAAAUUGUAGUGAGAAAAAUGAAGAACAAAUAAAAAGGAGAGAAGAUGAAAUAAGAAGUAAGUGAUCAUGUUGAGUGAGAGAUUGAUUAAUAUAAAAAUAUGUUUAAUUUGAAAUUUAAAUAUCAUAAUUUGCCUCCAAAAAACAACUCGCGACAACUUACAAAAUAAAGGACAUUGUCACAUGCAUUUUAAGUGGCUUAGAUGACUUAGUUACAAAAAUCAAUUUUCCACUCAAAAAGAGACAAAUGGCUCGUGUGGCUUGGUUAGAAUGCAAAUGCUAGUUUGAAAAAGCAUUUUUUCACUCACAAUGUCCCAAUUGCCUCAUGUGGCUUGGUUGGAAUAGCAAAUUGUGUGUACUUUUAGUCCAGUUAUAUCAAUUUUUUGAAUAUCAAUUAUCCUCAUUUAGAACACAUGACAACAAAUUAAAGUAAGGAUAUUUUGGACUUAACCAACAAUCAAAUCAACUGAUUAGAUUAGGCAAUAGUUAAUAUGCAUAAGCAUUUUCUUAUGUAUGGUGCAUAAGUCAUUCACAGCCAUCAGAUGAUUUUACACAUGUAAUAAUCAUAACUAAAGAACUUUAUAUUUUUGCUUGUUCAAUUUCGACCACAUUUUACAUGCGAUUCGAUCACCAAUUUCGAAAAUUAAUACCGGAAACAUUCAUAAAAUCGAACGACUAUCAAAACGGUAUAAAGAACGUCGAGUUUCGUUGAUUAUUGAGGGAGAACGAACCGGGUCGACGAACCGGGUCGACGUGACCCGUUUCUGCAGAAAAUNNNNNNNNNNNNNNNNNNNNNNNNNNNNNNNNNNNNNNNNNNNNNNNNNNNNNNNNNNNNNNNNNNNNNNNNNNNNNNNNNNNNNNNNNNNNNNNNNNNNNNNNNNNNNNNNNNNNNNNNNNNNNNNNNNNNNNNNNNNNNNNNNNNNNNNNNNNNNNNNNNNNNNNNNNNNNNNNNNNNNNNNNNNNNNNNNNNNNNNNNNNNNNNNNNNNNNNNNNNNNNNNNNNNNNNNNNNNNNNNNNNNNNNNNNNNNNNNNNNNNNNNNNNNNNNNNNNNNNNNNNNNNNNNNNNNNNNNNNNNNNNNNNNNNNNNNNNNNNNNNNNNNNNNNNNNNNNNNNNNNNNNNNNNNNNNNNNNNNNNNNNNNNNNNNNNNNNNNNNNNNNNNNNNNNNNNNNNNNNNNNNNNNNNNNNNNNNNNNNNNNNNNNNNNNNNNNNNNNNNNNNNNNNNNNNNNNNNNNNNNNNNNNNNNNNNNNNNNNNNNNNNNNNNNNNNNNNNNNNNNNNNNNNNNNNNNNNNNNNNNNNNNNNNNNNNNNNNNNNNNNNNNNNNNNNNNNNNNNNNNNNNNNNNNNNNNNNNNNNNNNNNNNNNNNNNNNNNNNNNNNNNNNNNNNNNNNNNNNNNNNNNNNNNNNNNNNNNNNNNNNNNNNNNNNNNNNNNNNNNNNNNNNNNNNNNNNNNNNNNNNNNNNNNNNNNNNNNNNNNNNNNNNNNNNNNNNNNNNNNNNNNNNNNNNNNNNNNNNNNNNNNNNNNNNNNNNNNNNNNNNNNNNNNNNNNNNNNNNNNNNNNNNNNNNNNNNNNNNNNNNNNNNNNNNNNNNNNNNNNNNNNNNNNNNNNNNNNNNNNNNNNNNNCUUUUGGUGUAGGAAACAAAUAUGAUCGGUGUAGGAAGCAAGUUUAUGCAUGGUGCAUAAGUUUGGGCUUAUGCACCAUAACCACACCCAUUAGAUUAUACGUUGCAGCUUAUUUUGACAUAUGACUUCCAAUUUAUGAUUGUCCAUCAUGUGCUGCACAAAUGUGGUUCCAAGAGGGAACUAAAUUAGUCUUUUCUUGUUAAAAAAAAUAAUUAGUCUUUUUCAAAAUAUGUUAGGGACUAAAUUGACAAUAAGUGAAUAAAAUUAGGAAUCAAAUUAAUAGUAAGUUGGUAAAUUACAGAAAAUUAAUUGAUAGUAAGUAGUUAAAGAUGAGGACCAACUUAACAAUAUAAUAAGAUACGAAACCUUUAUAAAAUAUCUAUUUAAGAGUAUCUUAUAAGACAAAGAUCAAUUUAAUGAUGAAGCAAUCCAUUUGCUUGAAGUUAUAAGCCUCAAUACUCCAAAAAUGCGAAGUAUCGUUUCUGAUAUGUACUUGAUAUCGAUACUAGUUCAAUACUUUCGAUAUACGUAUCGAAGAAGUAUCAUCAAUUAAUAUUAUUUUUUUAAAAAAUAUAACCAAUACGCGUCGGAUACUUCUCCGAUACGCGUAUCGAAAAAAUAUCAGGCAAUUAACGCUCUUUGAUGAUGGAAACGUAUGAAAUGAGACCGAUACAAUUCUGUUUCCUCUUAAGUAUUGAAUGUUAGAGUAUGAUGUUACCAACCAUGUCUUUUUUGGGUAGUACGUUCUUUUUUUAUAAUUAAAUUUAGUUGUUUUUCUGAUUGCCAAAAGUUGAACCCUGAAUCUCCAACUCCUUAUUCCUUAGUUCAACUAGUUUAAUCCGUUGAGCUAUCCAUCCCACCCUUUUUUGGGUAGUACUUAACUUAAAUAUGUAAUUGUCACUCAUUUGCUCAAUUUGAGUAAUUUGAAUGUUAAUUUCUUAUCAUUAUCGAUUUUAGUUAUGUUUAUAUAUUGUACAUUUAUACAUAUUUAAUUUUAAAUUUAAUUUUUAAAUAACGUAUCCCGUCCGUAUUGUAUCGGGAAUUUUGAAAAUUUUCUCGUAUCUCUGUAUCAGUGUCGUAUCGUAUCGGUAUCGUGUCGAGUAUCGGGGGCUUCUUAGCAUUUAGUAGUAAUUUUUUAUUUUUUAUUUUGAAAACUAACCAUUAGUAGUACUAGACUACUAGUAAUUGACUGGCAUUGUUAGUUUGCUCUUGUCCAUUAAGAGCUCCAUGCUUCUUGGUCACACACGUCGCCUCUUGACAAUACAUCAAAGUGAUAAGGUUCUCAUUAACUUUGUUAUUUUUUGGUUAGCUUCAAUUGCAAAUUGGUUGAAGAAAAUUAGUAAAACUAUACAAAUCUAAUUUCUUUUACUCUCUCCUAUAUAUAUAUAUCUUGAAAUCCAAUCACAUGGUGUAUGUGUACUAAGUACUAACCGUACACAAAACACGGACUUUCCCCUCACAUUGUACGUUUGAUAAAAGUUUUAGCUGUUUCUUCUCUUGUAGUUUGCAGAAAAGGAACAAUGGAAGCUAUGUUAGCUUUUUCUGUUCCUUCAUUUCACAUCCCAAUAGCACUUGAAACACAAACCCCAUUUAAAAAAUCCAUGUUCUUGAAAUCACAAUUGCAUUCAAAACUUCCAUUAAAUAGUGGGAACACUUCAAAAUUCAGGCUUUUCACUGCCUUAUCACCUUCUCCAUUAACAGAGUCCAGUAGUAAUAAUCUUCAAGUGGAUGAUGAGGCAGAAGUUGAAAAAGGUUCAGAGAAAUUUGAUUGGUACUCACAGUGGUAUCCAUUGAUGCCAAUUUGUGAUCUUGAUAAAAGGGCACCUCAUGCUAAGAAAGUGAUGGGAAUUGAUGUUGUUAUAUGGUGGGAUAGGAAUGAAAGUGAAUGGAAAGUUUUUGAUGAUGCAUGUCCUCAUAGAUUGGCACCUUUGUCUGAAGGAAGAAUUGAUCAAUGGGGUAGGUUGCAGUGUGUGUAUCAUGGUUGGUGUUUUAAUGGAUCAGGUGAUUGUAAGUUCAUUCCUCAGGCACCUCGCGAUGGACCUCCGGUAACCACUCCCUUUGUUCCGUUUCAAAUGUUGCUUUUGUAGGGAACAAACUGUUAAGUCUUGAUCCUUAUUAGUAGUCAUUAUAUUGUUGUUAUGUGGCUUAGAAAUUGAAUACUUUUUAUGGUGCUUUCCUCGCGUAGCAAUUGGCUAGAACCUAUGAAGCACAGACACUUACACAUUACACCAAUAACAAUUUGAAAAAAAUGAAAUUAUUGAAUGUAACUAUAUGUGUUGGGGUCGAGUCAGUAUCCAGCAACGACACAUGUUGGACACCGAACUUGAUGUCAAUCUGAAGUGUCGGUACUACAUAGUCCGGAACACAUUUAGAUAUGUAGCUAUGAGCCUAUGACCAUCUAAAUUUCUUCUACUUGCAAUCCCUAUGUAAUAUAGAUGUGUUGCAGUAAAUUGAUUCUUCUAUGGUUUGUUUUGUUAUCUUGUCAUCCUGAUUUAAUUUUGCAUUAAAAAAAUGUGCAGAUUCAUACUUCGAAAAAAGCAUGUGUAGCUGCUUACCCAAGCAUAGUACAGAAUAAUAUCUUGUGGUUUUGGCCAAAUACUGAUCCUCAAUACAAAGAUAUUAUAACAAGGAAAACACCCCCAUUCAUACCAGAAAUUGAUGAUCCAUCUUUUACUAGCUUAAUGGGAAAUAGAGAUAUUGCUUAUGGGUGAGAUUUUAAGACUAAAAAAGAAUGAUAUUCCUUUUGUAGAUUGGCCUAGCUUACCAUUAAUGUGAUUAGCAUAUAUUUUUUUGAAUUAAAUUGAAUGUGCAAUUUCAGGUAUGAGGUACUGAUUGAAAACCUCAUGGACCCUGCACAUGUUCCAUAUGCACACUAUGGAAUAAUGAACACUAUAAAACCAAAAGGUAUGCAUAUAUAUGACAAAUGUUUUAACUUCAGCAAAUUGCUUGUUUUAUAUAUUACAAUUACAUAAUUAAAACUUAAUUAACUUAACAGAGAAACUUGAUAGAGAAGGAGGAAGACCCCUUGAAUUGUCAAUUGAAGAGUUUGAUGUCAAUGGUUUCACAGCAGAUCAGGGUUGGAGUAAAAGCAAAUUUAUGCCACCAAGCAUCUUUUAUGCAUAUAGUGAUCCAAAUAAACCUGCAUCUUCUGUUGACAAUAAGGUAGAAAAUUGAAUAAUUAUAGUAUGAUCCUUUAUAUCAUGAAAAAUACGAGGCCAGUUUUAUAACGGUUAUAUAAUAUCAUUUUUAUUGCAGAAAUCAUCGUUUCAGAAGAAAUUUGCUUUGAUCUUUAUUUGUAUUCCUGUUAGUCCUGGUAAUAGCAGACUGAUUUGGUGCUUUCCAAGAAACUUUGGACUGUGGAUUGACAAAAUUGUACCGCGAUGGAUGUUUCAUGUGGGACAAAACUUGGUUCUAGAUUCAGAUUUAUAUCUUCUCCAUGUUGAGGUAAUUCCUUUUAUAAUUUACAAAUCACUUAUCCUGUUGGAGAACAAUGUAAAAGUUUGAUUCAUCGAUUAAUAUUAUUAUAUUAAUUUUUUAUAGGAAAAAAAAAUAUUGGAUGUUGGUCAAGAAAAUUGGCAUAAGGCCUGUUUUGUGCCAACAAAAUCAGAUGCUCUUGUGAUUGGUUUUAGAAAGUGGUUGAAGAAGUAUGCGGGUGGUCAAGUUGAUUGGAGAGGAAAAUAUAGUGGCGCUCUUCCUCCUACACCUCCUAGAGAACAGCUUUUGGACAGGUAACACUCAUAAGAUUGCAUUUGACACAUCGAAGUUUCAGUUUAGUUAUAUUUCAAAAAUAGUGGCAAGUUUCCUUUAACAUGUGAUGUUUUAUGUAUGGCUCUCGGUAUCCUCCGAUACAUGUGAAUCGUUUCUUGAUUUGACAGAAAAUUUAACCUGAUCGAUAUGAAUCUCUAGUGUGUAUAUAUUUUGAACAUGAAUCUCAUCUUAAAUUCCGGUUCUUUAUGAUGAAUCUCGAUCCUUUCUAACAAAUCACUACGUAUAACCUAGUGUGGCCAGCUCUUUGUUGUGAACUUUGUAUAGCUAGUCACUUUUCUUAUGUCGUUUGAUUUAUGUCUUGAAUUUUGAAUUAUUACGAGGUUCAUAUAUCAUAUAUCAACUUAUAAUUUUUCUGUCACUUGUUUUUACUUAAAAAAUGUCUUAGUUUUUAUUUGUAAUGGAUCUUAUGAUUCAUAAGAAGAUUUGGUUCAUGAUUAGAAAAAUAGGUCUUCUUGUUCACUAUUGGAAUAUGAUAUUGAUAACCAUGGUUUUAAGUGGAGAACUUUACUUAUGUCAAGCUUAAACCAAGAAUUCUAAAUAGACUGAUGUUACUAAAUCAUUAAUUGCAAUGCGUAUUUGUACCAUGUUCUUAAUUAAAAAUUAUCAAACUUGAACAGGUACUGGAGCCAUGUGGUGAAUUGCAAGAGUUGCAAUUUGGCAUAUAAGAGCCUCAAUGUGGUGGAAGUGGCGCUGCAGAUCAUAUCAGUUGCUGCAAUUGGGAUUGUUGCCGCAAUGAAGCAGGGUGCAGUUUCAGCUGUAACAAGAAAUUCAUUGGUUGUGCUUGCGGUACUUUCAUUUGCAAUGUCGCGGCUGUUAGCUCACUUCAUAUACAAAUACUUACGUUAUCAUGACUACAACCACGCCUUUCGCUGAAAUGUGUUUCCUUAGUUAUUGAUGUCCAAUUGUUAUAUGUGUAUAUACAUAGUGAAGUUGUACUAAACAAAGCUGGUAAUUAUUGUUACUUAAGAGGAGCUUUGGAACAUUUGUGUCGCUUAAAUAUGAGCAUGAUAACAGCAUGAAGAGAUGAGUUCAAUUAUUUGGAUUCCUGUUUGUCAAAAAAAAUAAAAUUAUUUGGAUUCCUGAAGCAAACAUGUUGCAAUAACUGUCAUGCACAUGCACAUGCACAUGAUUUCUUCACACCCACAAACUGUCAUGCUCUUUUACAAGUUAUAGCUCACAGGUAUGGGUCAACCCACGAACCCGAUCACCCAAAUCAACCCAACCACAUUGGAAUCCAACCCAAUCAAGUUUGGGGCUAACUCGAACUAAUCCAUUUAAAUCCAAUGAUGUUUGGUUUGGAUAGCUAGUUUGAUAUUGAACAUGUGAACUCGCAAACUCAAUGACCGACAAAAUUGAGUCUAAACAAUGAAUAUUGUACUCCUUGCAAAUAAAGGAAGGAAUAAUGGAGUCUCCGUGAUUUAGCUCAGUUGGUAGAGAUAUUCUAUUUUAUAUGUAGGGACCAGAGACUUUAAGGGUGAAAUUUCUAGCUGCUAAGUUAGUAACAAAAAAAAAAAGAAAAGAGGAAGGAAUAAUGGCGCAGCAAAUGGACAAUAAAUGGUGAGACCAGCAUGCCUAAAGAAGGAAUAAUGGCGCAGCAGAUGGACCUGUGGCUGUAGGGAUGAAAAUGGUUUUUCACUCUUAUAAAAAUGUGAACUUCGAGAUGCAUGAUCUCUUAUAAAAAUGCAAUUAAGUGUUGUCACUUUUUUCCGUAAGCUUUGCAGAAGGGAACAGUGGAAGCUAUGUUGGCCUUUUCUGUUCCUUCACUUCACAUCCCAGUAGCAAUUAAAACACAAACACCAUUAAAAAAAUCAAUGUUCUUGAACUCACAAUUGCAUUCAAAACAUUCAUUAAGUAAUGGGAGCACUUCAAAAUUCAAGCUUUUCACUGCCUCAUCACCUUCACCGUUAACAGAGUCCAGUAGUAACUUUCCAUGGGAUGAAUCAGAAGUUGAAGCAGAUUCAGAGAAAUUUGACUGGUACUCACAGUGGUACGCUUUGAUGCCACUUUGUGAUCUUGACAAAAGAGCACCUCAUGCUAAGAAGGUGAUGGGAAUUGAUGUUGUUAUAUGGUGGGAUAGGAAUGAAGGUGAAUGGAAAGUUUUUGAUGAUGCUUGUCCUCAUAGAUUGGCACCUUUGUCUGAAGGAAGAAUUGAUCAAUGGGGUAGGUUGCAGUGUGUGUAUCAUGGUUGGUGUUUUAAUGGAUCAGGUGAUUGUAAGUUCAUUCCUCAAGCACUUCGCGAUGGACCUCCGGUAACUACUCCCUGUUCCUUUUUAUCUGUCGCUUUUUUUGAAGGAGGGGUAUUGUUGCAAAAUGACAAAUAAUUUCAUCAAAACUAACACAAUUUAUUGUUUUCUUAGCAUGUGCAUAAAUGACUUUUAACACAACAACUAAAAAGAAAGAUAGAAUGUACUAUUAAAUCUUGACACAUACACUUUGCACACUGACGGUGAUAACAAUAUGAGAAAAACAAAUGAUUGAAUGUAACUAUAUGUGUUGGUGUCAUGUAAGUAUCAGGCAGCGACACGUGUUGAACACCAACUCGCCAGCAACUUGAAGUGUCGAUAUUACAUAGUCCAGAACACAUUUAGAUGUGUAGCUACCACCAACUUAAUUUCUUCUACUUGCAAUCCCUAUGGAAUAUAGAUGUGUUGCAUUAAACUGAUACUUCCAUUGUUUGUUUUGUUAUCUUGUAGUCCUCAUUUACUUUUGCAUAAACAAAACCGCAGAUUCAUACGUCGAAAAAAGCAUGUGUAGCUGCUUACCCAAGCACAGUGCAGAAUGACAUUUUGUGGUUUUGGCCAAAUACUGAUCCUCAGUACAAAGAUAUUAUCAAACGGAAAACACCCCCAUUCAUGCCAGAAAUUGAUGAUCCAUCAUAUACUAGAGUAAUGGUAAACAGAGAUAUUCCUUAUGGGUAAGAUUUUAAGACAAAUAAAAAAAUAUGAUAUUUCUUUUGUAGAUUGGCCUAGCUUAAUGUGAUCUGAUUUUGGAAGAUGAAAAUAGAACAUUACAUUACAUAUUUACAUUAUGCAUACCCAUGAGCAUAAUUUGCAUGUCAGACCUUAAGAAAACACAAAUAUGUUUUUAGACCUUAUAAAAUAUCUAAUUAGUCUUCGCAUUUUACAAAAAACAUCUUGUUUAUAGAAACUAAACUUAAAAGAUAUGUGAUUUUAUAUAGACUCAGAGGCGGCUUGGAGGCAUGUGCGAGGUGUGCGACGGCAUAGGGCCUCAAAAUUUCGAGGGCCUCAACUCAAAAUUUUGAGGUCCUAUAAUAUUACUUAUAGAUUAUUUAUACCUAUAAAAUAUCAGAUGUAUAUUAAUAGAUUAAUUUUUAAGCCCCAAAAUAAUAGUUANNNNNNNNNNNNNNNNNNNNNNNNNNNNNNNNNAUUUAAUCUUAGAUUAUGAUAUUCCUUUUUGACGUUAUAUACAAAGAUAAUUAUUUUGUAUUUCUUGUUCCAUUUAAUUUAAUGCAAGAUUUAAUAUUGAUAAUUUAUAUGUUUACAAGAAUGUUUUUUUAUAUUAUAUGCAAUUUAAAUCGAUAAUUUUUUUUAUUUUUUUUAUUAAGGGGCCACUUUUAUAUUUUGCACAGAGUCUCCUAAAACUCGGAGACGCCCCUGUAUAGACUACAAACAUAUUUAAUAAAAAAAAGAAGCAUGUCAUCUGAUUAGCAUCUUUUUCUAAUUAAAUUGAAUGUGUAAUUUCAGGUAUGAGGUACUAAUUGAAAACCUCAUGGACCCUGCACAUGUUCCAUAUGCACACUAUGGAGUAAUGAACACUGUACAACCAAAAGGUAUGCAUAUAUAUGAUAAAUGUUUUAACUUCAGAAAAUUCCUAUUUGUUUUUAUAUGAAAAUUACAUAAUUAAAACUUAAUUAAUUUAACAGAGAAAGAUGAUAGAGAAGGAGGAAGACCACUUGAAUUGUCAAUUGAAGAGUUAGAUGUCAACGGUUUCAGAGCAACUCGGGUUUGGAGUAAAAGCAUAUUUAUGGCACCAAGCAUCUUUUACAAUGUGUUUACAUCAAACAACACUUUAUAUGAUCCAAAUUACGCAUAUAGUGAUCCAAAUAAACCUGCAUCUUCCGUUGAAACUAAGGUAGUAGUAAGUAGUAACAAAUUGAGUAGCUAUAAUAUGAUCCUCUAUAUCACGGCGGCCAGUUUUAUAAUGGUGUUAUAUAAUAUAUUUUUUUUGCAGAAAUCAUCGUUUCAGAAGAAAAUUGCUUUGAUCUUUAUUUGCAUUCCUGUUAGUCCUGGUAAUAGCAGACUGAUUUGGUGCUCUCCAAGAAAUUUCGGACUGUGGAUUGACAAAAUUGUACCGCGAUGGAUUUUUCAUCUGAGACAAAACUUGAUUAUAGAUUCAGAUUUAUAUCUUCUACAUGUUGAGGUAAUUCCUUUUAUAAUAUACAAAUCACUUGUCGUGUUGGAAAACAAUUUAGAAGUCUUAUUCAUCAAGUAAUGUUACUAAAUUAAUUUUGAUAGGAAAAGAAAAUAAUGGAUGUUGGUCAAGAAAAUUGGCAUAAGGCCUGUUUUGUGCCAACAAAAUCAGAUGCUCUUGUGAUUGGUUUUAGGAAGUGGUUGAAGAAGUAUGCAGGUGGUCAAGUUGAUUGGAGAGGAAAAUAUAGCGGCGCUCUUCCUCCUACACCUCCUAGAGAACAACUUUUGGACCGGUAAAUCACAUAAGAUUGUGUUUGACACAUUGAAGUUUCAGUUUAGUUAUAUUUUCAUAUGUCAAGUUUCAGUUUAAGUAUGGUUAUCAGUGUUCACCAGUACAUGCAAAUCAUAUCUUGCUUUGACACAAAACUUAACCUAAUCGAUAUGAAUCUCUAGUGUGUAUUUUGAACAUGUUCUUGAUUACAAAUUAUCAAAUUUGAACAGGUACUGGAGCCAUGUGGUGAAUUGCAGAAGUUGCAGUUUGGCCUAUAAGAGCCUCAAUGUGGUGGAAGUGGCGCUGCAGAUCAUAUCAGUUGCUGCAAUUGGGAUUUUUGCCGCAAUGAAGCAGGGUGCAGUUUCAGCUGUAACAAGAAAUUCAAUGGUUCUGAUGGCGGUACUUUCAUUUGCAUUGUCGCUGUUGUUAGCUCACUUCAUAUACAAAUACUUCCGAUAUCAUGACUACGAACAUGCCUUUCACUGAAAUGUGUUUCCUUAGUUAUUGAUGUGAUGAAAUAUCCAACAUUGUUGUGUGUGUGUAGUCAAGUUGUACUAAAACAUAGCUAGUAAUUAUUGGUAUCUAACAUAUUGCUAUAAAAACUGUUAUCCUUCUGUUAUGGAACCUGUGAAGGGAUGUAUGUUGACACUUUCUUAGUGACUCAAAUUCUUAUAUUCUUUGUUGGAUGAGGGCAGUUUUAGUCCUACCAGUACCUUUACUAAAUUUUACAAUUCUUGUCCUACAAGAAAAGAUUCACGCAGUUUUAGUCCCUUCUAAAAUCAAAUUUAGAAUUUUAUAGCAUGACAUGACAUGAGAUUAAAAUAAAUAUGAAUUUUUUAAAAGUCAAAAAGUUCAACUAAAAAAUGUGUCAAAAAAAAGUUCAACUAAAAAUAAUGAAUAUCUGUACUAAAAAUCAAAUUUUGAGUUUUUUUUUUUGUGAAUAAACAUUUUUUUUUUUGACAAGAGAAAACUUAAUUCAUAUCAUUGAUCAAAAUGUUCUCAAUACAACGAAGAAUCGACUCAAAAAUAUAGUGACCAGACAUGGAAUAUGCCGCUCGUGCUAAGGCGUGGGCGGCCAUAUUCGCUUGUCGCUUUACAAAUUUAACCUCAAAGUUGGACUUUGAUAAUAAUAAAGACUUAAUGCUAGAAAUCAACAACUAAACUCAGAUAUUCCUAUUUGGCUAGAAUCAUAUUUGCCGCUUUUUCUGAAAAUAAAGAAUUUAUCUUUUCAACAUCCCAUUGUUUUGAGUUAGGAGUCAUAAGUUGUUGAAUAGAUAAAUUGUACACACCAUAGUGGAGAGAUUAAAUGCUUAUAAUAUGAACUUAAUUGAGUAGCUAUAAUAUGAUCCUCUACAUCACGGCGGCCAGUUUUAUAAUGGUGUUAUAUCAUAUAAUUUUUUUGCAGAAAUCAUCGUUUCAGAAGAAAUUUGCUUUGAUCUUUAUUUGCAUUCCUGUUAGUCCUGGUAAUAGCAGACUGAUUUUGUGCUCUCCAAGAAAUUUCGGACUGUGAAUUGACAAAAUUGUACCGCGAUGGAUGUUUCAUCUGAGACUAAACUUGAUUCUAGAUUCAGAUUUAUAUCUUCUCCAUGUUGAGGUAAUUCCAUUUAUAAUUUACGAAUCAUUGUUGGAGAACAAUGUAGAAGUUUGAUUCAUCAAUUAAUGUUACAAUAUUAAUUUUGAUAGGAAAAAAAAAAUAAUGGAUGUUGGUCAAGAAAAUUGGCAUAAGGCCUGUUUUGUGCCAACAAAAGCAGAUGCUCUUGUGAUUGGUUUUAGAAAGUGGUUGAAGAAGUAUGCAGGUGGUCAAGUUGAUUGGAGAGGAAAAUAUAGCGGCGCUCUUCCUCCUACACCUCCUAGAGAACAGCUUUUGGACAGGUAACCUAAUCGAUAUGAAUCUCAAGUGUGUAUAUAUAUUGAACAUGAAUCUCAUCUUGAAUCCCAGUUCAUUAUGAUGAAUCUCGUUUUAUUAAUGACAAGAAUUUAUUGAGGUUCAUAUAUGAUAUAUCAACUUAAACUUUUGUUAUGUAAAAAAAAAAACUUAAAAUUUGUCACAGAUUUUUCCAUAAAAAUGUCCUAGUUUUCAUUGGUAAUGUAGUUUAUGAUUCAUAAGAAGAUUUGAUUAACGGUUAGAGAAAUAGGUCUUCUGAUUCACUAUUGGAAUAUUAAAUUGAUGACCAUGGUUUUAAGUGGAGAGCUUUAUUAUGUCAAGCUUAAACCAAGUUAUAGGUUCACCUAGUUUGCGUUUGCUUGUUUUUGUUUCCCCACACUUGUUUAUUUUAUGGGUUUGGUUUCGCCCCCCCAUCUUGUAUAUAUAUUUUUCCUUUUUAUAUAUAAAUACAUGAACACUUGGCAGGGGAUGGGAGCCUACGAGAGGUGCCAACCUCGUUGGGAUGUCUUCUAGGUUCUCCGAUGUCAUUAUGUUGUUAAUUCAUCAAAAAAAUGUCAAGCUUAAACCAAGAACUUUCAAAUAUAAAAUUCUAAAAAGAUCAAUGUUACAAAAUCAUUAAUUGCAAUGGGUAUUUGUACCAUGUUCUUGAUUACAAAUUAUCAAAUUUGAACAGGUACUGGAGUCAUGUGGUGAAUUGCAAGAGUUGCAGUUUGGCCUAUAAGAGCCUCCAUGUGGUGGAAGUGGCGUUGCAGAUCAUAUCAGUUGCUGCAAUUGGGAUUGUUGCCGCAGUGAAGCAGGGUGCAGUUUCAGCUGUAACAAGAAAUUCAAUGGUUGUGCUUGCGGUACUUUCAUUCGCAUUGUCGCGGUUGUUAGCUCACUUCAUAUACAAAUACUUACGUUAUCAUGACUACAACCACGCCUUUCACUGAAACAAAGCUGGUUAAUGGUUGUGUUUCCUUAGUUAAUGAUGUCCAACAUUAUUGUGUGUGUGUGUGUGUACUAAAACAAAGCUAGUAAUUAUUGGUGUGUGUACAUAAGUUGUACUAAAACAAAGCUAGUAAUUAUUGGUGUGGCUAAAAUAUGAGCAUAAUAACAGCAUGAAGAGAUGAGUUCAAUUAUUUGAAUUCCUGUAUAAAUACUGUUUUUCUUCUCUUGUGGAACCUGUGAAGGGAUGUAUGUUACUUUCAUAGUAACCCAAAUUCUUAUAUUCUUUGUAGGAUGAAUAAGGGCACUGCUACCUUUACUUAAUUUUAUAGUUUUUUGUCCUACAAGAAAAAACUCAUGCAGUUUUAGUCCCUUCUAAAAUCAAAUUUAUUUAAUUAUCCUUAAACACUUAAAAUUUUGAAUAUUAAGAAUAUUUUAACAUGAGAUGAAAUAAAUAUGAAUUAUUUAAAAGCCAAAAGUUCAACUAAAAAUAAUUAAUAUCUAGUCUAAAAAACAAAUUUUGAGCUGUUUUUUUUUUUUGAGAAACUUUUGUUCAUUUAUCAUCUUUUUUUUUUAUUAAACAUUUAUCAUCUUUUUUAGUUUGUGUGAAACGGACAAAUGUGAUAAUUAUUAUGGGAUAAAUUGUCACGAAUAUCGAGGCCUAACUCAUCCUUACAAAACCGGCUUGUAAGGUGAGGAUUGCCUCCUCUUUAUAAACUCUUCUCAAGAGUCCUAUCCGAUGUGGGACUAAAUCCCACUGAGUGUUNNNNNNNNNNNNNNNNNNNNNNNNNNNNNNNNNNNNNNNNCUGUGCGGAUUAAUAGAUCAAUAAAGUAAGUAAUAUUAAUAACUAGUUAAUGAAAAUGCACAAUUAAUAGUAAGUUUGUUAAUUAUGCAAAUGUGACACUCAUUGCAUAAUUUGCAUAAUAAAAAUGAAAACACAAAAAACUGGAGCCUCUAAUUUCAACAUCUCUUAAGUUGAAUCAUUGAACAUUAUUGCAGAAAGGAACAAAUGGAAGCUAUGUUAGCUUUUUCUGUUCGUUCACACCACAUCCCAAUAACACUUGAAACACAAACAUCAUUAAAAAAAAACAUGUUCUUGAACUCACAAAUACAUUUAACACUUCCAUUAAUUCGUGGGAAUACUUCAAAAUUCAAGCUUUUCACUGUCUUAUCAUCUUCUCCAUUAACAGAGUCCAGUAGUAGUAAUCUUCAAGUGGAUGAUGAGGAGUCAGAAGUUGAAGCAGAUUCAGAGAAAUUUGAUUGGUACUCACAGUGGUAUCCAUUGAUGCCAAUUUGUGAUCUUGACAAAAGAGCACCUCAUGCUAAGAAAGUGAUGGGAAUUGAUGUUGUUAUAUGGUGGGAUAGGAAUGAAGGUGAAUGGAAAGUUUUUGAUGAUGCAUGUCCUCAUAGAUUGGCACCUUUGUCUGAAGGAAGAAUUGAUCAAUGGGGUAGGUUGCAGUGUGUGUAUCAUGGUUGGUGUUUUAAUGGAUCAGGUGAUUGCAAGUUUAUUCCUCAGGCACCUCGUGACGGUCCUCCUGUAACUACUCCCUCCGUUCCUUUUUAACUAUCGCUUUUGAAGAGAAAAAAUUGUUUGUUAUCUUGUAGUCGUCAUUUACUUUUGCAUAAACAAAAUUGCAGAUUCAUACGUCGAAAAAAGCAUGUGUAGCUGCUUACCCAAGCACUGUGCAGAAUGAUAUCUUGUGGUUUUGGCCAAAUACUGAUCCUCAAUACAAAGAUAUUAUCACAAAGAAAACACCCCCAUUCAUACCAGAAAUUGAUGAUCCAUCCUAUAGUAGCUUAAUGGGGAACAGAGAAAUUGCUUAUGGGUAAGAUUGUAAGACUAAAAAAGAAUGAUAUUCCUGUUGUAGAUUGGCCUAGCUUAACAUUAAUGUGAUUGUUUUCCUCUGAUUGGUAAUUGAUAGCUUGAUAUAAUAAUUUGAUAUGAUUUUGGAAGAUGAAAAACACAAACAUUACAUUAAAUAUGCAUAAUUUGCAUUGUUAAGAAGUCUCACAUCGGUUGCAAUAUGGCCUGACUAAGUGUUUAUAAACUAGAGGCAAUCCUCACUUUACAAGCUGGUUUUGUAAGGUUGGAUUAACUCAAUUCUAAGAUGCAUGUUAGACUUUUUAAGAAAACAUGUCAUUAAGCUCUUUUCAGGUAUGAGGUACUGAUUGAAAACCUCAUGGACCCUGCACAUCUUCCAUAUGCACACUAUGGAAUGUUGAACACUCCAAAACCAAAAGGUAUGCAUAUAUAUAUGAUAAAUCUUUUAACUUCAGCAAAUUCCUAUUUGUUUUAUAUAUGACAAUUACAUACUCUUUUUUUGACACAAUGACAAUUACAUACUUAAAACUCAAUUAAUUUAACAGAGAAACUUGAUAGAGAAGGAGGAACACCACUUGAAUUGUCAAUUGAAGAGUUAGAUGUAAAUGGUUUCACAGUAAAUCAGGGUUGGACUUGGAGCGAAAGCAAAUUUAUGCCACCAAGCAUCUUUUAUGCAUAUUCUGAUAAAUAUGAACCUGCAUCUUCUGUUGAAACUAAGGUAACUUAUUGAGUAUUAUGAUCCUUAUAUAACGAAAAGUGCGCAGCCAGUUUUAUACUAGUGUUACAUAAUGUAUUUUAAUGCAGAAAUCAUCGGUUCAGAAGAAAUUUGCUUUGAUCUUUAUUUGUAUUCCUGUUAGUCCUGGUAAUAGCAGACUAAUUUGGUGCUUUCCANNNNNNNNNNNNNNNNNNNNNNNNNNNNNNNNNNNNNNNNNNNNNNNNNNNNNNNNNNNNNNNNNNNNNNNNNNNNNNNNNNNNNNNNNNNNNNNNNNNNNNNNNNNNNNNNNNNNNNNNNNNNNNNNNNNNNNNNNNNNNNNNNNNNNNNNNNNNNNNNNNNNNNNNNNNNNNNNNNNNNNNNNNNNNNNNNNNNNNNNNNNNNNNNNNNNNNNNNNNNNNNNNNNNNNNNNNNNNNNNNNNNNNNNNNNNNNNNNNNNNNNNNNNNNNNNNNNNNNNNNNNNNNNNNNNNNNNNNNNNNNNNNNNNNNNNNNNNNNNNNNNNNNNNNNNNNNNNNNNNNNNNNNNNNNNNNNNNNNNNNNNNNNNNNNNNNNNNNNNNNNNNNNNNNNNNNNNNNNNNNNNNNNNNNNNNNNNNNNNNNNNNNNNNNNNNNNNNNNNNNNNNNNNNNNNNNNNNNNNNNNNNNNNNNNNNNNNNNNNNNNNNNNNNNNNNNNNNNNNNNNNNNNNNNNNNNNNNNNNNNNNNNNNNNNNNNNNNNNNNNNNNNNNNNNNNNNNNNNNNNNNNNNNNNNNNNNNNNNNNNNNNNNNNNNNNNNNNNNNNNNNNNNNNNNNNNNNNNNNNNNNNNNNNNNNNNNNNNNNNNNNNNNNNNNNNNNNNNNNNNNNNNNNNNNNNNNNNNNNNNNNNNNNNNNNNNNNNNNNNNNNNNNNNNNNNNNNNNNNNNNNNNNNNNNNNNNNNNNNNNNNNNNNNNNNNNNNNNNNNNNNNNNNNNNNNNNNNNNNNNNNNNNNNNNNNNNNNNNNNNNNNNNNNNNNNNNNNNNNNNNNNNNNNNNNNNNNNNNNNNNNNNNNNNNNNNNNNNNNNNNNNNNNNNNNNNNNNNNNNNNNNNNNNNNNNNNNNNNNNNNNNNNNNNNNNNNNNNNNNNNNNNNNNNNNNNNNNNNNNNNNNNNNNNNNNNNNNNNNNNNNNNNNNNNNNNNNNNNNAUAUAAUUUGAGAGAUCAACAAUGAGAUUAAAAUGUAACUUUUUAUUUUAUGUUAUUACAACUCUCUGUUAAUAUCGUUGGAUUAAUUAGAAUUAGUUUAAUAACAUAGUUAGAAAUAGUUAUGAUUGGUUUGAAGUCUACUAUUAUAUUGGUUAUCUUAUCUUAGAUUCUUAAGGUGACACACUUACACUAUAUAAAGUGCACUCAUUGUAUCAGCUUCUUCAUACUAUCAUUUUAUUUUAUUUUUUUUAAGCAAAAGUGGAAAUAUAUUAAAUAAAAAAGAGAAUAUAUAGACAGACCUAACCCAAACGGAAAUACAUCGUGAUUGUACAUACCGAAGAAAAAACAUUAAUUAAUCCUAACAAAAUUACAAUUUGUGGGGGACUACAAUUAAAAUAUAGUUGAACAUUAAUUAUAUUUAGUUUAAUAUUUUUUUCAGAUACAGUUAGAAAUUAGUUAUAAUUUACACUUUUCAUAUAUUUAAUAAAAUGAAAAAGAAAAUAAAAAAGGGUGAUGAUGUUGAUGAUGAUGGAGUAAAAGUAAAGCUUACUGAGGAAGUCGCAACAGUAGUAAACCCAAGUAAGCCAUGACUAUGGCUUCCCACCAGAUUUAGAAUAUAUCAUAUCAUAUCAGAUCCACCGUCACCAUCACCAUCACCAUUCACCACCACAUUCUACAUACAUUACAUUACCCUUAUCCCAUUUCAGAUCUCAAAACCAAAUCCAAAGAAAUGAAGGAUUCUAAUUCUAAUUCAAACUCAACCACCACCAGUAGUAGAACAGAACCAAUAGGCCAAAACCUAAUCAAACUAAUAAGCAAUCUAUGUUUUUCAUUCUUCGUCUUCACCGUUCUCAUCUUCACCGUCAUUGCCAUCACAUACCAACCACCUGAUCCAUGGCUUCAAUCUUCACCAGCCUUAACAAACCUCUUCACUCAACCUAAAAACGCCACUUUCCACAUCGACACUUCCGUUAUCAAAACCGGUGAAGACAUCACUCCUUCACCACAGGACUCACCUCUUCCUUCCUCCGCCGAUGCAACUCCCGCCGUCACGGAAGCUGUAAUUGAAAAAUCCGAGGAGAAAAUCAUCAAUUCAUCCGUCGCGGCGCCUGGUCCUAUUUCCUCUGACUGUCAGGAGCUUCUCGGAACGCUAAAUUGCUCCGAUCCUCGUGUUCUUAUUGCUAUUCAGAGAUUUAAUCUUCGUGCUUUUAAGUCUAUUUCGUUUUUCGAGUAUCAAACUCCGGUGAACGGUGCUGUUUCCGGUGAUUGCGAUGUUUCGUGGAGGUUUCGUAAUAAAAGAGAGAAGUCAUGGAGGAAGUACCGUGAUUUUCGUCGGUUUAGGGUAACUGUAACUGAUGAAUGUCAUUAUAAGGUUAUUCACGCCGGUGGCUUUCAUUCCGGUGUGAAUGCGCGUCGAAAUCCGGCGCCACGGACACCACGGACCGGAGGUGGUAAGGGAAAAACAUUGCCGCGAAAUUCGAACCGGGAUGAUCAGAUCAAUGACACGAUUCCGAGUUUGGGAUCGGAGACUAAUUUUAGGAAUGGCAAGUAUUUGUAUUAUUCAAGAGGUGGUGAUUAUUGUAAGGGUAUGAAUCAUUAUAUGUGGAGUUUCUUGUGUGGUUUAGGUGAAGCAAUGUUUUUGAAUAGAACUUUUGUUAUGGAUUUGAGUGUUUGUUUAUCUUCAAUGUAUAACCCUAGUAAUAAGGAUGAAGAAGGGAAGGAUUUUAGGUAUUACUUUGAUUUUGAGCAUUUGAAAGAGGUAGCUUCCAUUGUCGAGGAAGGUGAGUUUUUGAGAGAUUGGAAGAGAUGGGAUAAGACUCAUCUUAAGAAAAAGAAGGUUCCUGUUAGAAAGGUUGUUACUCAUAAGGUUACUCCAAUGCAACUUCAGAAGGAUAAAAGUACCAUUAUUUGGAGGCAAUUUGAUUCCCCUGAGCCUGAGAAUUAUUGGUAUAGAGUUUGUGAAGGUCAAGCUGCGAAGUAUAUUCAGAGACCUUGGCAUGCUUUGUGGAAAUCUAAGAGGUUGAUGAACAUUGUUACUGAGAUUAGUGGAAGAAUGGACUGGGAUUUCGAUGCAGUUCAUGUGGUUCGCGGGGAAAAAGCUCUAAAUAAGGAGCUAUGGCCUAAUUUGGAUUCUGAUACUUCGCCGGAUGCAAUUCUUGAGAAGCUUAAAGGGUUCGUUCAGCCUUGGAGGAAUUUGUAUGUUGCUACUAAUGAGCCAUAUUAUAAUUACUUUGAUAAGUUGAGGUCGAAUUUCAAGGUGCAUUUGCUUGAUGAUUAUACGGAACUAUGGGGAAAUUCAAGUGAAUGGUACAACGAAACUAGUCUUCUUAACAAUGGAAAGCCUGUUGAGUUUGAUGGUUACAUGAGAGUUGCGGUGGAUACAGAGGUCUUUUACCGUGGAAAGACUCGCGUGGAAACAUUCUAUAAUUUGACUAAAGAUUGCAAAGAUGGAGUUAAUACAUGCUGAUCAGGUUCUCCCUACUGAUUUUGAUGCUUAUUCAUUGUACACUCAGGUCUUUGUUCUCGAUUUAGUUUUAGAUUCAUAUCUUGGGGGUAAAUUUAAGCUUGCUGCUGUGCUUGCUUGUUCUUUUAUUGUAUUGGUUGAUGAUUUAUUACUUGUGUUGAUUAUUAUGAUUUUGUAUACAACAUAUCAUAGAAUCCCUUACUCUCGUUCCUGCUUCUCCCAUUCCUCAUUGUCUUCAUUUCUUUUCUCGUUUAAAAUAUUUUGUUCCUGCGUUCCCACAAUGACCAAACCAAAUUGAAAUAAAAAAGGGCUUUUGCUGCAGUCCUCUAAUAUUUCAAUGUAUUAAUGAAAUAUUAGCAUAAAUUUAACACCAUCUAAUCUGUAUUUAGUUUACUUCAUUUAUGUACUUUUGAAUAACUGAUCUUAUGAUGCUACUUUGAAUUAAUUUGUAUGCCUCAAGGAUGUACUUAACUUUAGCGCAAUCUAGGUAAAUUGUUUGUGAGCAUUUUUCUUGCAUUGCUUGCACGGCUUGUCAAGGCCUUCACAGCCACUGUUUAAUCAAUAAUACAAAUUACAUGGUGUCUGUCAGUUUAUGUUUGUGCAGAAACAGAAACCGUCCAAAACAUUAACUAAGAAAGAUCACUUGUAAAUACUUAUAUUGAGGUAAAGUUUUGCACGGCUGUGCAUUGUUAGAAAUUUAAACGGACUGGAUACCUUCUUAUCAGUUGUUUGGGUUCUGCUCAAUACAUUAUGGUAUACUAUAGUUAACUGUAUUUUGAAUUGUACUGCAGUUAGAAUUUAGUCUUUCACAUUAGUUUGUCAUGCACAAAAUAUACGUAUCCUAUUAAUUUGAAGUUUGAACAGUUGCUAAAAAUGCAAGUACUGUAGUUUGAACAUCACAAUUCACAGCUGCAAGAUAGUCCCUCGGGAAGAUGAUGUAAUUUUUCCUUCGUCUCUCGCAAUGAUUUAUUUUCUUUAUUGUUUCCUUCUUUCACUAGAAGGAAAAACAGUUAAAUUAUGAUCAAUUUAAGUGCUACUUCUACCCAAAUCUUUGACUGCACUAAGUUAACACCAAGUGGCCUGGUUAAUGGGCAAUAUGAAAUCCUGUUAAUUAAUCUACCUGUUUGUGUGGAGUUCUAUUAGUUUGCUUCUAUGAAAACAAGACCAAGAUCCUACUCUCGUUCCUAUCUCUUAUUUAUUUUCUUUCAAUAUUCUCUCUUAUCACCAUAGCAGCAUGUGACCCAUCACCCAUUGUUGUUGUAAACUGGGCAGACAGACCCAUAACAUUAACAAAUAAUAACAAGUCUGAGAGGCACGAGAAUGUGUUGUCUUUAAGAAUUUAAUGGCAUAGUUGCACAAAAUCCCCCAAGGUAUUACAAACUCUUAAAAGCAGUACCAAUGAUGUAGAACAACAUAAGUAAAACAGGAAGAUAUGGAGGAUCCUAUAUUUUUAUAAGGCACCAAUUAGACAGUUUUCCUUAAGAUAAGAUGGAGAUUGACCAAGUUUAAAACGAGCUAAUAGUACCGUUUUAAGAACAAGCAGUAACAUACUAAAUAGUUUUUGGGUCGGCCUUCUAGAAAUGAGGUAACACUUCUAAAUUAUUUUAGAAUGAUUAAUGAUUGGAGCAGAAAGUUGUGACGCCAUAUCAUGUAAAGAGGAUUUUCACUGAAAUUGAACAUUUUGUGUAAACCUUAUUCUCUGAAUUAUCACAACAAAUUACAAAAAUCAUCGACUAUAUUCACAUUUUUUUAAACAAGAUAUUGGUCGUUUGUGACCGAGAUAUUUCACGAGAACUCUAGCAAUUUUUGCCAAAACUUGUGCAAGCCUAUUUGAGGCUCUUAUAGAUGAUUACAAGUGAAUGUUGCGAGUUAUACAUCCUCCAUAAAGAAUUAAAAUUUCAGAACACUAGGAAUGCUUGUAAAUUUAAUUGUUUAGCUUUUACAAAAGGAUUAGAUUAAAUUGGAUUUAGCUUUUACAAAUUAUAAAAUAAAAUUAAGUGGAUGUAACAAGUAUUCCCUAUAGACUAGGGUUAUAUUGAAUGUCUGUACAUCAUUUUAGAACAAAAAUAUCAUAUCAUCCAAAAGUAUAAACCAAUACAAAAAACUCCUAAAAGAUCACUACAAAAAAUCAAAGAUCAACAAAACUAUUCAUCCUCUUGGCUUCUUAGUCUAGCUAAUUUGUUUGUUACAACAACAUCAAGUUGUGCAGCUCUCUCUACUAUAUCCUUCCUCUUUCUUGUAGAUACAUUGUGUGCAAUUUCAGCACAAUAAGUCCUAUUGUGCAUCAUAAGCAACUCCAAAUCAUUAACAUUACUAACAAGAAAUUUCUUGAAACCAUUUGGAAGAUAAUGCCUAGUCUUCUUAUCUGACCCAUAACCAAUAUUGGGCAUCAAGGUGCAUCCUUUAAACUUUCUCCUCACACGAGAAUCUAUACCCUUGGGUCUACGCCAAUUUUCCUAUUAAAAAACAAACACAUCAUAUGUUAAAUGAACACAAAAAACAACACUUGAAAGUGAACCACAUUCAAAAAUAAAAGCAUAAUUAAAUAAAAGUGUUUGUUGUUAUGUUCUGCAAUCUCAGUCGAAAGAUGGUGAUAAUUUUGAUAAUCACGGAUAAUCAUAAUAGUAAGGAUAUUAUAAUUGCAUCACAGAUUGCAGAACAAUAUACAUUUAAAUAACUAGAAUUUAAAAAGUCAAUUAUUUAUAUUAAAAAAUAUAAACAGAGAAUUAGUAACAGUAGGCUUAUAAUCAAGAAAACCCCUGUGUCGCAAGAUCUGUAAAAGUUUGCUAUAUGCCCGUAAAAACGAAAUGUCCAGCUACAAGACUAAAGUCUAAAUUCAGGACAUCAGAUACCAUAGGCAAAUUACAUACAAAAAUUGUAAAAGAAAUUCAACAAAUUCAGAUUAAAAAUGAUAAAAAUAUAAAAUUGACAGGAAAAAAAACGAAUUUUUUGGCAAGAGAUCAGAUGGUAGUGCAUGUUUGUUUCAUCAUCUAUAACAGAACCGUAUGGAUUUUUAUCCUCAUUUCUCAUUGCACUUCAUAUACUAUAAAAAAAAUUAAAAUUUUAAAAUCAAAUUCAAAAAUUAGAAAUUGUACUUAAUAAGAUUAUGGUUCAGACAUAGUUUUACCACUCAUCAUGCUCUAUAAGAACAAGACUGGUGUCAAAAACAUGUCAUAAUACCCAACAUCGAAAAAACAUAAACAUAGUAAUUUUACAAACUAAAAAAAACAAAACUUGUUUGAUAAAAAUAAGAAAUUGUUUAAAUUUGGAAAAUGGGAUCAGAUAGUCGAUCUUUGUCACCAAGUAUGAAAUUCACAGUAAGACUGGACGUCACAUAUUAAGAUUGUUUUUCCUCAUAUCCCAUAUAAAAUAUAAAAUUAAAAUUUAGUAAAAUAAAAUUGAAAGUAAGAAAAAUAUGAUAAUAGAAUUAACAGGAUCAGAUAGAAAAGUCAGUCACCACGUUACACCAUGUAGAUGCAAAUUAAGACUGGGGCGACAAUCAUUAUCAUCACUUCCGGUUUGUUCAUAAAAAAUUGAAAUUGAAAAAAAAAAAGAGAAAAGAUAUAGUUAUUGUUAUACCUUUACACAGAUCUUGCGAUCGCUUUGGGGUCUAAUGAAUUUCUUGACCCUUUUCUUAACGAUCUUCUUUGUGAGGAUCGGCACAGCCAUUGUUGCUGUGUUGAUGAUGAUGAAGUGUGGAACAUGAGAGAGUAUUUAUAAGGAAGCGUUGUGUGUCUAGGGUUUGUGAUAACGGAAGGAACGCGAAUUACGCAUGCGGCUGAAUCUAGGGUUUUUUGUUGAAUGGACCGGUUUAGUCGGGUUGGGCCAAUUAUUAGGUCUAAAGAAAUUGUUUUGUUAUUUAGGUUGUUAUUUGCACCACAUACUUUUUAAUAUGUCAGGCUCAAUCAACCCACCCCCACAACCCUAAUUUUGUCCACAACUCUGCCCAUUUAGAACAUACUACUAUAGUGUAGUGUAAUAAGGGUCGUGAUAACUAAUGUUUUUGGGGCACUAGUUAAAAAAAUUAGAAGAGGUAAAAUUUUUAUUGAAAAUAAUAUUUUGUAUACUUUGAAGAGAUGAAUUACAUAAGUUUCGAGAACAUUUUACUAUACUAACCUCCUUGACUAAUUCUCUAUGGACACUAGUUAGCACUCUCUAUAUAAUAAUAAAUGAAUGCAAACAAUUCUUACCAUAUUCCCCACAACAAAUGCAAUUUCGAGUACAUGUAGCAUUUGUCGCAAGUUUCAAACUGUGGACUAAGUUAUUCUCGCCAUUCACAUGUAAGAUAGAUGUGUUAACUAAGUUAGCUCUGUGCCCGACUGUUUUCGGUCUUCCAACAACAAAUCCUUAAUUAUUAGUUGCUCAAAUUUUAAAGAUAUGUUGGAGCAUGUAGUAUGAUGUCAUUAGUUUUAUUGCACCAGACAUCAUGUUGUAUGUUAAUACGUCGUCCACCCCCAACUACCAUGUCCAUUCAUUCCCUUCAAAUAACUUGGGAUGUGCAAAUGCUACGCCAAGUGAAACUUGCAUUAUUUACAACAACCUCAAGGGCAUGGUGUACGUUGUGCAAUGACAACCUCCGGUUUAUGAUUGUCUAAGAUGCAACGUCGGCGCUAGCUUCUAAAGCAGGUAAGGUGCAACAAGAUGAAGAUGGCGUAUUUAUGAUUAUCGAGAUCGCUUCAUUUAAGCAAGUUCUAAUGUUUUUGUUUUAUGAGAAGCUCAACACAAUAGGGGAGACUGACAAUAAAUGAAGCUAUGCAUGAAGUGAUUCAAAGAGAUAUUUUUACAUGUUACUUUUGAAGUGACUAAAAAAUUGUAGUUAGAUGUUAUUUCUUCCAACUAUGCUGGCUUUUCUUAGUCUAGCUUGUUAGUUUAUAAUAUUAAGUCUAUGUUAUUGUUGUUACCAACUUUAAGGUGAAAUUAAUUAUGCAACAAGCGUAGACGAUCACUCAUACCUUAGUUAAGCGAUCUAUUUUUGAUCUUGUCACUGUUUUUUCAAUUUAAUUUUUUUUUUGUAUCGAGAACUCUUUGAUUAAUAAAAUGAGUUAACUUUAUUAUUGUUAAAAAAAAUCACAUUAACUUGGUAAAAAAAAAUUAAUCAUAUAAUACACGAUUAGAAUACCACAUGUAUUAACUCAUCAUUGAUGCCAUAUAAAUUUUAGUCCGAAGACUUUUAUUUUUACCAUUAGGUUCACUGGACCGUCUAAUCUGGUUUGGGAUCAAUUCUGACAUCAAGUGAUCUUAGUCUCUCUCGACCGCAGUUACGGAGAAUUGAAAUGUGGUUCUCACUAUCAAAUUCAACGUCAAUCAUCGCUGAACUAGCUAACAAUUAGUCCUGAAGACUCAUUUUACCCCCACAAUAUUUUGUUUGUCUAGUUUAAUAUAUGAUAAAAAUAAAACUUAGUUUUUUUUUUUUUACACAAUAAAACUUAGUUAAUACCAUACAUUUUUAUAUAAGAGACAAAUUAAUCUCACUAUUAUAAUAAAUAAAUUAGAGACCAAUUUUUACUUAAUAUAAAAAGAUUAUAGACUAAUUUAAAUUUUAUUUCUUGUUGGAACUUAGAACUAAAAUUAAGUCGUCAUAACUCAUAACAUAAGUCUUUACUCUAAAAAUCUAAAUAUUUUGGUGUUUAAACUUUAAAGAAAUCUGAUAAUCUUAAAAUUAGUUGGCAAAUAAAAUUUGACAAAAAAUCAAUAAUUUUUAAGUUAAGCUAAAAUUAUCUUAAUGAUUCGUUUAUGGAAUCCAUUAAUUAACCCCCUAAAGACUAGAGCUCAUUUUAUAAUCUGAAUAAAUAUUGUCUUGACAUAGUAAUUUUUUAAUGAAAAAAGAAAGAUAAUAGGGGUAAAAGAUGGGCAAGGAUCUAGGUGGGUUGUUUGUCUUGUAGUAAUAAUCAUAACUGGUCUCCACUGUGUCCAGUGACUCAGUAAAGUAAAGUUAGAACACACUGUCUCUCUGGUGCCUCUUCAUUCUCCCCUCACUGUAAAGUCUCUAACUUUCUCAUUCAACUCUCCAAACCCCAGUUAGAUUCAUUCAUCAACACUUUCAUUCUCAUUGCAAACUAGUAAAUCUGUUAAUUCAAUAUCAGUUCCUGGGUUGUGUUGUGUCCCAAACCCAUAAGAGGAGCUGAAACAGUUCUCAAUAGCAGCACCACCAACACUCUUGUAGGGUUUGUAGAUCAGGUAUCUUGUAUAUGUCUCUUUUCUUUACUACCAUUCAGUUUUUGCUUAUUCAUUCUUAUCAUUUCAGUUUCUGUCUUUUUCUAACAUCACAAACCAGGUUGUUUUUGUCACUCUUUUUUUUAGAUUUCUUUCUUUAUUUGACUAAAUUCUUGUUCUUUUUUCUUCUGCUUUUUUGGUAAACCUUUGCCUCUAUUUUUUCCACAUAUUUAAAAGUAGAAAAUGCUUGUUUCUUUGUUUCUCACAUCAUUUUAAAAAGUAGCAAAUGCUGUUUUUUUUUUUUCAUAAAUAAUUUAUGUACAAUAAUGUGCCAAACAGGCUAAUAGUUACUGAUUCCAGAAUUUUAUUUAUUUUUUUAAUUUAUUUUUAUAAUGUAAAACUUGUAUACAUCAAUUUUAUCUGAUAGUAUAGUAUAUAUAUGAUACAUGCAUUCUUCUAUGGAGUAUAUAUAUAUAUAUAUAUAUAUAUAUAUAUAUAUAUAUAUANNNNNNNNNNNNNNNNNNNNNNNNNNNNNNNNNNNNNNNNNNNNNNNNNNNNNNNNNNNNNNNNNAUAUAUAUAUAUAUAUAUAUAUAAUUUUAGCUGUUGAAAGAAAUUGUGAUUUUGUAUCCAUUGCUGAAUUUUGACAGUUAAGGCUUUGCCAAACUGAGAAGUGAGAAGCAUUGGGCUGAACCUACUGGUUUAAGUGAUAUUGGGUGCAAUGAAGCUUAAAGUAUGGCUUUCUAGUGUUUUGUUGCUCACUAUUGCUAUGCUAACCACUACAUUGGGUAAUAUUUUACCUCCCUAGUUUUAUCUUAUUUACUUAAUUACUUAAUCUAUCUCAAAUUGAAUGCAUGUAAUUUAUCUUCUAUUACCGUUGCGUGUUAAUGUUGAAUCAAAUUGUUGAAAUUGUAGGUGCAUUUGUGGGGGUAAACAUUGGCACUGAUGUCUCUGAUAUGCCAUCUGCUUCUAAUGUGGUUUCUAUUCUAAAAGCCCAUCAAAUUACUCAUGUGCGUCUUUAUGACGCCAAUGCACACUUACUACAAGCCCUUUCAAACUCCAGUAUUGACGUAAUUGUCGGUGUCACCAAUGAGGAGGUACUGAAAAUCGGAGAAUCUCCAUCAGCAGCCGCAGCCUGGGUUAACAAAAAUGUAGUUGCUUAUGUACCAUCCACCAAUAUCACGGCAAUAGCUGUUGGCAGCGAGGUUCUUUCCACAAUCCCAAACCUUGCCCCCGUUCUCGUUCCUGCUAUGAAUUCUCUCCACAAAGCUCUGGUUGCCGCAAACCUUAACUUUCGUGUCAAGGUUUCGACACCACAAUCUAUGGAUAUUAUCCCUAAGCCUUUUCCUCCUUCUACUGCCACCUUUAACUCUUCGUGGAACUCUACACUCUACCAAGUCCUCCAGUUUUUGAAAAACACAAAUUCCUCCUUCAUGUUAAAUGCUUACCCUUAUUAUGGAUAUACUAAAGGAGAUGGUAUUUUCCCUAUUGAAUAUGCUCUUUUCCGACCCCUUCCUUCGGUGAAGCAAAUUGUUGAUCCGAACACGCUAUUUCACUACAACAGUAUGUUUGAUGCUAUGGUGGAUGCUACCUAUUACUCUAUAGACGCGUUAAAUUUCAAAGAUAUACCUGUUGUUGUCACAGAAACUGGUUGGCCAUCUUUUGGUGGAGCAAAUGAACCUGAUGCUACUGCAGAAAAUGCCGAGACCUACAAUAACAAUAUGAUUCAACGGGUCCUGAAUGAUUCUGGUCCACCUAGUCAGCCAAACAUACCAAUUAAUACUUACAUAUAUGAAUUAUUCAACGAAGACAAGAGGAAUGGGCCUAUAUCGGAAAAAAAUUGGGGCAUCGUCUAUACUAAUGGAAGUGCUGUUUUUCCUUUAAGUUAUGGUGGUGCUUNNNNNNNNNNNNNNNNNNNNNNNNNNNNNNNNNNNNNNNNNNNNNNNNNNNNNNGAGCAGACACUGAUAAGCUGCAAAAUGGCCUGAGCUGGGCUUGUGGACAAGGAGGAGCAAACUGUGCUCCUAUUCAACAAGGGCAGCGAUGCUAUCUCCCCAAUAAUGUGAAAAGCCACGCCUCUUAUGCUUAUAAUGAUUAUUAUCAGAAAAAUCAAGGUGUUGGUGGAACAUGUGACUUCGACGGUACUGCUGAAAUUUCUACCCAGGAUCCAAGUAAGUUUAUACGAAUUCUUAUUUCUGUUUUAACUCACAUUUUUGGCAAGGCACUCAUGUAAGCUGCUGUAAGUAACACUUUAGAUUAUUUCUCUAGAUGGUCACAUACGUGUAACUGUGUCCUUUUUAGAUUGAACAUGACAUCAACUAAACUAAGUAUCCGAAAAGCUUAUGCUGUUAGGUGAAAACAUAUAGAAGGGUUUUAAUGGGGACAAUGAGAAUUGAAAUCUAGAACACGUGUCAUAAAGAAUCCGAUACCAUCUCAUGAACCACCUAUCCCAGAAAGCUUAUGUUGUUGAGUGUAGACACAAAUGAUUUUUAUAAUCUAACUACUCUCUUACAGUUGUAGGACUCGAUGAUUUCUCUUUGUUGUAGAAAAAACUCUCUGGAAUUAAACCAUUUGUAAAUCCUUGAUUAUCAUCUCUUUUAAAAUGACCAUAGGCUAGAAAGCAGUUUUAUAGUAACUAUUCAAGUUAUUGGAACGUGUGGCAAUGUGCAACUGUUUUUCAAACUUCAUGAAUUGACAUUGCUGAAGGUUGAACAAAUAAUACUAAAAAAAUAAAUCUAUUUCCUCCUUAAAAACAGUUCUGGAUGAUAAAAUUAUGGAUUCUAUAGUUAUUGGUUGGUGACUAUUUCUCUAUUGGACAAGAAACCAAUCACAGUUUGUUAUUUUGAACUUUUUUUCUUCUCGAUAAUUAGUUUGUUUAGAUUCUAACCUGCAAAUUCUGUUUAACCCAAAAUUUAUAAGUUACAUUUUUUCCUUCUUUGCUUGGUUAGUUUAGUGGCAUAGCUAUGUAUUUGCUUACUUCAUUUAUCAGUUAUUGAUUUUAUGUUUUGAGAGUUUCAGGAGGCAUUUUUUUUAAGGUUUUGGAAUGUUGUAGUAUUUGCUUUCCUGAUUUGCAGGACCUAGGCAUUAAACCUAUUGAAACUUCAUGAGCAAAACUAGGCUACUACAUAGAAACGUCUUCUUAUUGCAUCCUGAUACUGAUUAAAUUGUUGUGAAAAUACUGGCGGGGAAUGAAUUCUCUUAUUAAAAUUUCAUGACUAUAUCAUGUUAAAAUUGUCUAUUUCUCUUUUCAAAGACAUUGAAUAGUUUGUAAGUAUUUAUGAAGAGAGACAUAAAAUAUAACAUGACAAUGUAGGUGAGCUUUAUGGUGGACCACUUUGACAAAUGAUCCACAGUAGACCACACUUGAUAAUCACUUGAAAUACCAAUGUCGCCCUUUGAAAGUAGAAGCUUGCAUUCAUCUUUGUUCUCAUGAAUGGGAUGUUGACCAUUCGUUUUUCCUUGUUUUUUCCCAAAUUGGUACCAAUCAGUUCUUUCUCACUCAUUAGGAUGAAAAGGAUCAUAAACGUUACUUUUGGCACGUACCGUGAGUCGUCAUUGUGGAGUUUAGAGUAAUUUUCAAGUAUCAGUCAACUUUAGAUCGCCUCUCAAAAUGGUCUAUGUAGAACUUUCCGACAAGAUAAUGUAAAAUUUUCACACAAAAGAAUAAUUCCCGUGGUAGUAGACUUUUUCGAAGAUGUAUCUUAGCAAUAAUAUUUGAAAGUCUAUUACAUUCAAUGAUUUUGAUCACUUAAAUAAAUGUUUCCUUGCGGUAUUUAACCAAUUAAUGUUGUGUAAUCUGUUUCAGGUUAUGGAUCCUGUAGAUUCACAGGAAGGUAUAGAAUCAUAAUCUAUAUUCAUCCUUGAUUAAUUAGAUUCAAAACUAAGUGUUUCUCUUGAAAAUUCUUAUCUGAUCAUGGUUUAUUUUGAUAUCAGCUCUGGCGCAGGAGGAGUGAGUUUACCACCCAUGGCACUUGGUCCUUCUUCAGGUCCCUUUGGAGCAAGUAUGAACCUUCAAGUGUCUCCCCUUCAGUAUUUGAUAUCUGCUGUUGGUGUAUUUUUUGCUCUAAUGAUUCUAUGAUGAAAAGGUUUAUGCACUUUUAAGAUUGCAAUUCAAUUAUUCGCUGGAGCGGAGUUUUCAUCGAUUUUGUUUCUAUUUUAUUAUUCAUGGCUAUGCUCCAUCUUGUGCAUUUGAGGUCAUUGUAAUUUACUGUAUCUCUUUUAUGAUAGAUAAUUGCUUAAAUCUAGUGAUUUAGCUGUAGGAGAAAAACCAAAGACUGAAUCUAGAAGAAAUUAUUGCCAUUGUUCUUUAACAAACAAAUGGUGCACUCUUGAUCACUCUAGCAAUCUCCUUUACUUCUUUUUGGGUUGUUUGGAAGAGGGAAAAAACCAUAUAUUGAUCAAGAGUUUGAAUGGAUUGAUUUAUUUAUUUUUAUUAGUAGGAAUCAAACUGGGUAACUCAGGUUUACUACAGUCAUAUAUUCUGCUCACCAACAAAUCCGUCGUGCUCUACUCAGUGGUAGAUAGAGUUGAAUGGAAAGAUCUAAGUCGUAUACAACAUAAGACAUCUGUAGAAGUGCACAGAGUGGAGGAGGACACAAACUCUAGGUCUUGAGCAGAUCAUCAUAUGGAACACCUUACCUAUCUAACUAAUCAACACAUUCAUUCCUUUCUCUUAAGGUGCGCCGAAGAAUCCAUAGUAAGGUUGCUACAAAAGACGUCGAAUGUGACUUAUAAAAGAAGCAUGAGAGUCCAAUAAUUUGAUUUCAUGAUAAAGUCCUUGAACCCAUAAUAACUCAAAGUAUGAACAAGGUCAUUCAAGAUAGCCAAUCAGGUCACAAGAAUAUACUGAACAAUUCACUUUAACGUAUAAAGUCCCACACUAUACACUUGCUCCUUCUCAAUUUAUGAGCGAAGAAAUUUUGUUGCCCCACACUAUAAGUAAAAAAAAGACAAUUUUUUCUCAUUUUUAAGAUUUAUUUUUAUUUAUUCUCAUAAAAUUAAAUAUAAAUUUCAUUUAAUUUGACUUCUCUCCUUUUUCUUCUAAUCAAUAAAAUUUAUUUUUAAAUUUUCGUAUGAAACUUAUUUUUAAAAAAAUACAAAAAAUUUUACUUUAUUAAACGAUUAUGUUUUACUACAUUUUUUUGUUUGUUUAUAAUAUUAGACGGAAUAAAUAAGUGUUAGCUCUAAAAAUGGAUGUUUUUAUUUAUCGCUAGACUCUAUCUAUCUUCAUUCGGGUCAAACUUAAAAUAAGAUUACUAAAUUAAGGGGGUUUAGUAGUUUGUGAUCGUGAUCAUUGGUGAGAUCGGUCGGAAGAUGGAUGGAAAAGGGUACGCAUGGGCAGUUUCCGCCGGAUUCAACGCCGCUCUUGCAGCCAUCUUCGCUAAGCUCUCAUUUCACAUCUUCAUAAAGUAUGGGUUUGUGGUAUUGUUCAAUGUAACCAUGUGGUGUUGUUAUGUCAACAGUCUUAAAGCUCUCUCUUCUCUUCAAGCCACCGUCACCAAUUUUGCCACCAAUUUCAUCUCUUCUGGUUUAGCUGGUUUCUUCUUCUUUCACGAAUCACUAUCUUUCCAGGUACUAAUUCUAUCUUUUGUCACUUUCCAGUACUAAUUCAUAUGACAGAUAGGGUCUUAUUAUGUUUCCUUAUGGAUGCACCAGUACAUUCAGGAGUCCUUUUUUAAGUUUGAUUGUUUGUAACUGUCAGAUUUUAAGUUAUUUAGGUAAUAAUUAUGUCCUUAAGUAACCAAGACAUUGAACUCAAAUAGUUAACGAGCUUCCCCUAGAAUGCGAAUUCGAUUCCUGGUGGGAACAAUUAUUGGCUAGACUUUACUUACCUCGUGGCAGAACUCUGGAUUACCGGACCCCUUUCUCUGGGANNNNNNNNNNNNNNNNNNNNNNNNNNNNNNNNNNNNNNNNNNNNNNNNNNNNNNNNNNAAAUAAAAAAAAAAAAUAGGUCCUUAAGUUACUUUCACCAUGAUGGGCAUCUUAAUGAAAAAAUCUGAUGCAUCCCAAGACAUCAGCCUGAUGCAUCCUAAUUCCUAAGGAGGACGUACCCUUUCAGCUAACCAACUUGAGUAGAGAAUGCUGAUAUACAAUAGACCAAAGGACGAUCAUGAUAUCUACAAAUGUGAGCAAUAAGAGAAGCAGGUUAGUGAUCAACACUAACACCGUCCUCCUUAAUAAGAUUCAAAAUCGUCAGUUUGAUUCCAAAAUAAUGUCUUUAAACCCUUCAUCCCAAGCAUGAGAAUGACUGUGAGAUAUGGCGAAUAAUUCUGCUACAAGAUUACUAGGGUGAAAUUAGAGAAAUUAGUGGUUUAACAAGAUUACUAGGGUGACUUCCAUUUUCUUUUUCUUUUCAAUUUCAUUUUUGUAUAUCAAAAUAAGGGGUGUGAGUGUGAUUACUCUCCUACAAACAAUGUCCUCCCUUUGCCUUUCUUUACUAUUAAAUCGCAAACAAAGUAUGAAGAAUCCUUGGUUGGUUAUUUGCCUCUUGAUGUAUUCAACUCUAUAAUUCACGCAUUCUCUGAUGCAAAUAAUUGUUUUACAGUGGUUUGCAGGUGCCAUACUCAUAAUAAUUGGUGUAAUAAUAUUGAGCAACUCAAGUAUUGAGAAGAAGGUUAGCUCUGAUUAGAUGUUGCAGUUCAUCGCGAUACCUUUCAUGCUUGCUUGUUAAAGGCUAGCAUCUGCAAUUGUAUGAACAAGGCUCCGUAACAUGAGGAACAGUAUAGUCGGAUCAUCUUCUGGGUAGUUCGCCACUUCACUUCACUUAAAACAAGCUGCUUCUUGCCUUUGCCAAAUAACUCGCUUAUUGUUUUAUUGAUUUUGAUUUAUGUGGUUCUUUGGUGUAGUUGGUUUGAGAAUGCCAAUAGUUUAGAGGUUGUCACUCUGCUGUUGUAUUUCUAUGAUAUUGGUCGUGUUUAUAUGUUCUCUUUGGUUCUUUUCUUCUAAUUGAAUUGGACAGUUUUGGUGCAUUUGUUUUUUGGUACAAACAUCUCUGGUGCAUUUAUAAGAGCUUUGUAAAAAGGAAACAGUUCAAUAGUUUUUCAAAAAAGUGUUUCUAUUGGCUGGGAAUUGACUUAUGUGUAUUUGGAAUGUAAAGUGUGAAGAAUCUAAAUGGAUCUAAUUGUUGUUAAUCUGGCUGAGAAAAUUUUGCCUUGUUGAAGCCCUUGUAUUCUAUACUUGUCUGAGACAUCUUUGGUGUAAAAAUAUCAUAUGACCUGACUUGGGAGAUGUGCUGCACAAAAUAAGAAUGUAAUUUCACUUUCACCUGUUUUUUAGAUUUUGCUUAGCAAGGAAUAAAAUUUAUCUGAGCAUCUUAUAAAAAAAAGAGUUAAAUAUGUUUUUGGUCCUCGUAGUUUUCCAGAAUUUUCAUUUUAGUCCUUGAAGACUUUUUUUCACACUUUUUAGUCAUGAAAUUUUUUCCGUCAAUGUUUUUAGUCCCUACUUUUCAUUUAACUCGUGCGUACCAUUUGAAAUUUUAAUUUUUUUUUUCUGCAGUCAUGAUUAGUACAUUAUAUGAAUAUUUGUUAUAAAAGUUCAUAAAUAAUUCAUCUUAUGUUAAAAAAUUCUAAAUUUUUAUUGGAGAUGAUCUUAUAAUAUUAUAAACAUGAAUAUAAAAAAUAAUUCAAAAAUGUGAAAGUAGACAAGAGUUGAAUGAAAAGUAGGACUAAAAACAUUGACGGAAAAAACUUCAGGACUAAAAAAUGUGAAAAAAAGUCUUCAAGGACUAAAAUGAAAAUUCUGGAAAAAAAAAAAUCUAUCUGAGCAACAGAGCAAGUUAUAGUUAUACCGCCAUGCUCUCUUGCAUAGUGGAAUCCUUUUGAAGGCAUAUCAUAAGAAAAUUUAUCUGUGUUGCCAUUUCAAUCUAUUCAGGGGAAUGCUAUUUCCAGAAAUAAAUUUAGCAACCUUGAAACAAACUCCCUUCCCCUUAUACUUUGUGGGUCAAAUGUAAUGGAGACUUGAGUCUGAAGAGAGGUGAAUUGAGAGGAGAAUGGAGGUUAAGGAUGAAUUUCAAAAUCUAGUGUGUUUUGUUUAGGGUCAUAUGCAAGAGAUUUUAAUGGAUGACAUUUUCAACAUGUUAAUAUUUAAAAUGCAAAAUUAUCUUUAACUUAAUUUUUAGUAAGAUUUAGUCAUUUAGGGUCUGUUUGGUAAAAAUAAGCUAUAAGUUAGCUGAUAGCUGAUAAGUUAGCUGAUAGCUGAAAAGCUAGCUUAUAGCUGAUAGCUGAAAAGCUAGCUUAUUGAAAUUAAAGUGUUUGGUAAAAUUAGCUUUUAAAGUGGUUAUUAANNNNNNNNNNNNNNNNNNNNNNNNNNAAAAGCUAUAAGCUAGUACAAAAAGCUUGUUACCAAACACCUCUAAUUUUUUUGAAACAAGCUUAUAAGCUCAUAUAAUAAGCUAUAAGCUAGCUUAUUUGUGUUACCAAACAGAGCCAUAUUCUUUUUAUAUCAUUUUUGUCCUUUUAGGUCUUUUAUUCAUAUUUGUAUAUGAUUUUUUAAGUUUUAAAUCUAUAAUUAUCUUUUUAUGUCAUAAGAUAUAAUUUAUGAUUUAAAGCAAACAAAGAAAUAAAACUAUAAAUUUAAAGUUUGAAAUUUAUAUCCGAACAUGAAAAAAUGACUAUACUCAUGUUUUUGGCUAGGAAAAGGUCCUUAUAAAUAUGUGACUAUACUCAUGUUUUUGACUAGCAAGAGGUCUUUGAAAUUCAUAUCCGAACAUGAAAAAAUGACUAUACUCAUGUUUUUAUCCGAAUUAAAGAUCAAGUCUCAUUGUUCAGUCACAUUAUGCUGCGAUGUUUCUAAGAUCACUAGACACCAACUCAAAAAAUAAGAGAUUUUAGACCUGUAACACCCUAACUUGAGACAGUUGUGUACAUCUAAAUUUUAAGAAGAAAACCAUAUUGUUAAAAUCAAUGUGGGUUCAUAUAUUGGAAUAUAGUUGACAUUAAAUUAAAUUAAAAAAUAUUUGAAGUUUAAACAUGUAACAAAAAUUAUUUCCCUAAUCCCUACAAAUGUUGCAUUUGUUAGGGAGUUAAAUUUAACUUAUGAACCAUGACACAAAUGGUAAAUACUUGGGUCCCUUAAUCAUUUGGUUCUGGGUUCGAUCUCUGGUCGUGAAUAUGGAGAAACAUUUGUUGAGAGAAGUCAAUCCCUUGAAUGAAUCUCGGUUACCAUUAGUCUAUGCAAUUUGGUUUAUAGAAAAUAAAUUUGGCUUAGGAGCUAGGAAGGGGUUUUGACAUCCUCUGCAAAUGAGUGAACAUUUACCGUAAAAAAAGAUGUCUUAAGUAAGCAAAUACGAAAUACUACAAUUCGUCAAAGAAAUUAUCGUUUUAUGAAGUUAUCGAACACUAAUUAAUAUUGAACUCUAUUUGAGAUCAAUUGCAUGAGAGAAAAACUUUCAUUUUUGAUGAAGAAAAUAUGAACUGAAUUCAAUUGAUUUGAUUUGAUUUGAUUUAGGGGAGUGAUGAUUUCCGGCGGAGGAGGAGGAGGAAGAAGUUCAUCCUCAUCAUGGGGACCGACGACAUCAGUGUCAGCUUCAGGAAAGAGAAUUCAGAGAGAAAUGGUUGAACUCAACAACGACCCUCCUCCUCAUUGUUCUGCUGGUCCCAAAGGUGAUAAUCUCUAUCACUGGAUCGCCACCAUUAUUGGUACCCCAGGUUCACUUCAUCAUCUAAACCCUAAUUUAUAUUCAAUGUAAGUUGUUUGGGUUCAGAUUCAGUAUAUCAUCAUAUAUUUGAAAAAUUGUGUUUUUUUUUUCUGUUUGUAGGAACACCAUACCAAGGUGGCAUAUUUUUCCUUGAUAUAAUUUUUCCAACUGAUUAUCCCUUUAAGCCUCCCCAGGUAUUAUUAUUGGUAACUUUUUCGGCGAAUUAUUCUUUUUUCUCAACUUGGUGUUUGCAUUGUGGCAUGUGCAAUAAUGUUAGCAAUGAAAUUAAACUGUAUAGUAUACCUAUACAAUGAUUGGGUUAAAUUCCUUGAAGUUAAUGCUUAUUACUGUUUUGACAUGUAGUUGUAUUUCCAUAUCCACUUAGCCAAUGUGUACAUCUCUAGCACUUAGGGCAUCAGCAGCAGCUUGAACUUUCGGUAUGCCUGACUGCUAAAUGGGUUCAUUUAUUCAGUUUUGUUUUGUAAGCCGAUGGACUUGUCUUUGUCGUAUCAUUGUGUGACACAUUGAAUAAAGAUAGAGACUGAAUUGGUACUUAAGCUAUAACGUUCUCCCAUUCAAUAGCUUAGUCUUCUGGGAUUGACUUUCCUCUAGGGCUUGAGUCAUGUUAAGAGUUUCACAUUGGAUGAGAUAAGGCCUGAACGUGAGUAUAUAAGUGGGGGCAAGGCAAUUUUCACCCUACAAGCCAGUUUUGUAAGGGUUGAGUUAGGUCCAACCUAAUUCUAUAAGUCAUAAGAGAUGGUAAUUUUAUUGAAGACUGGCUGAUUGGGAGGGGCAACCUGUAAAGAAACAACUAGGAAAAUAGUUACCUGUACCAGAAAGGUCAAGAAUGAAAGCAAUUUUGAGUGGUUAGCAAGAGUGCUCUUUCACCUUAUAGUCUUUUGGGAUGGUUUUCCUCUUCGGCAUGAGUCAUAUAUUUCCUCAUGUGCCAAGGUGCUCUUUCACCUCAUAAAUUUUGAGUGGUUAGCCAGAGUGCUCUUUCAUCCGCUAUUGACAAUGUAGACAGGGAUGGUAGCGGAGAUUACAAGAUAUAUAGCCACUAGAUGGUCUGCUAUUGUAUUUAACAGUUUUGAACUACUGAUUCUUAUAUCAUCUCAUUUGAGUCCACUCUUCCUCUUUUGAAGAAAUAUAUUAAUUUGUGUGUAUUUAACAAAUAUUAACGGAAAAAAUUAUUCAUUGGCUUGAAUGCACAUAAUUUUAGCUUUUGAAUUGAUAUAGUCAUAUAGGGAAAGUUCACUGGCUGGCUGUUUUGUUCAAGAUAAUUUUUAGCUUCAUUUGUAGAAGCUCACUGGGAGCUUUCAAUUAUUUUUCAAGUCUAGUUUAUUAGAAUGGUUGCUUGUAUUUGUAUAUAAUGCAUGUUUUUUCACCUUUUGAGUAAAUCACUGUUACUUUCCUGAAUUUUUAUAAAUCUUCAAACACGGUCCCUUUAUAUUUAAAUCCUAUGAACCUCCUGCAACAUGUUGAAAAUGUCUUCUCUCAGAUUUUCAUGAAUUUUCAUAAACUUCUUUGUUCCAAAAGUUUGGUUUAGGUUUAAAAAAUAAAAGGGCAAUACGCAGACAAAACAUAAAAUUUAUGGGGAGGUUAAAGUAAUUUAAUUGUUUUGUAUUGCCUUGUUGAAUUGAACUUGCAGUUAGUCUUCAGAACUCGGAUCUACCAUUGCAAUGUAGAACCUGAUGGCCGUGUUAGUAUGGGAAUAUUGAAGGAUGGUUGGAGUCCAGCACUAACAAUUACUAAGGUGCUACUCGCUGUUAGAUCACUUUUGACAAAUCCCGACCCUUGUAAGUUUGUCUAGUCUCUUCUUGAAUACUACCUUUAUCCCUAUAUCUAAGAUCCUUUUGGCUAAUGCAAUUAAGAAAGAGGAAAAUAUUGUAUUGUUACCUCCCUGUCUUAACAAGCAGCAUGGUUUAAUAAAACACCAACUAAUGAUUAUGUCUUUUGACACCGUGGAUUCAAUUAAUUUUCAAACAUGCAUUAUCAGUAAUAGUAAUACCAAUGUUCAUAUUUUUUCAAAUUAAAAUUAAGGGUCUUCCUAAAGUUUUGCAUUGAGAAAAACAAAAUUCUGACUAUUAAAAAGUUGAAUUGCACAACUUUGAAGACAAAUUUUCUCCUAAAAGUAAUAGCAGCACUUACAAGCAGUCGAUACUCCAAGUAGCCAUUUAUGAUCCUGGAAUGUAAAGCUGUUAUUGUUCAUGCAGAUAAUGCUGUUGUUCCUGGUAUUGCUCACUUAUAUUUGGGAGACAGAGCAAAACACGAUGAUAUUGCUGCAGAGUGGACUAUCCGAUUCGCCAAGUGAAUAUGAUAUAAGAGUCGUUUGAUUGGCUUGACAUAAGAAUGUUAGCAAUUUCACAUUCUUUCCAGUAUGUGCUUUAUUAUCGGAAAGAGUUUGUUAUAUAGUUUUUCGUUGAUGUUUUUCUACAUCGUAUAUAUCAUGUACCAAUAUUUAUGUGAAUGAGAAUGACUGUUCAUAGUUCAUGCACUUGUAACAACCAUUUCUCCUCCCUGCAAGCUUUGAUAAUAAACAAGGUAGUGUUAUUACAAUACAAGACAACCUGCAUCAUGAACUGAAGCCAAGCGAUAUUUUACAAUUUUUGCUAUCUUAAUUACUGCUAACUGCUAUUGUUCUGUAUGAUAAGAUGAAUCAACUUUAUAAUGACUAAGAGCUCGUUAUUUCUUGUGUAUAUCUACGGCAGAAAUUUGCUGGAGCUAAUCCUUAAGAUCAUGUCAUUCUAGUUUUUCCACUUAUCAUAUUCAAAAAUUUGAUCUUCUGGUAGGAAUGACAAUGGCAAGUCGGUGCUUGAAAAAUUACUCAUGAUAGGUAGUAAUUGCCUCUUAAAUUAAAUGAAUAUGAACUUAUAAUAACAUUGACUGAUGCAUCAAUGGUUAAGAUUCUCAUAGUUAUCGUGUUUUUGUUGUACUUGUAUUGUAUCAAGUAUCUGAGCUAUACAGGUUUAAUGAAGUUGUCUUAUUCUGAGCUUGCACGCACGUGUGGAUACAAAUGAAUUCUGUACGGCCCUAGUUUAAUACUUUAGAGUAUUGCUUUAAUUUAACAAUUCAGAGUAUUGGUCUUAAAUUGAAAACAACUAAGAUAUCACUAGAGGAGAUGGAGGAACUAGAAAACUUCGUGUGUUUUUUAUUUUCUUUUCUUUAACUUAACCCCUCUAUGUACCAACAUGAUGUGGUAUGAGUGAUUAAUAUAUUCAAGUUACUUUACUUAACAUCUGGUCAGAGAUUUAAUUCUUAGUCAAUGUCUAUAAAAAAAAAUGUCUGCUGAAUAAUAUAUCAACUCGGUUUCCUUUUUUCACAAUAUGCACUCUCUAUUUUUUUUUUUACAAUUCACUCUAUAAUUAAGUGAUAUUUAUACAGGGCUCCACUCUACAAUUUUUCAGCACACAAAUAGAAAAGGAUCAGAUUUAUUAUUACUCCUAUUAUUAUUAUUAUUAUUAUUAUUAUUAUUAUUAUUAUUAUUAUUGAAAGAAUUAAAUGAUAAAUAAUUUAGAUUUGGGGUUGUAAUCAUUAAAGAAUUAUUAUCCUACUACUAGGACUCAAUCCGGUCUUAUAUAUAAGCAAAAAUUUAUUUAAUAGAUUUAUUGAAUAAUUGAUGUAUCUGAUCCAUCGGUUAUUUAAUAUAUUUAAAAAAAAUAUUGUUAUAUGAGAUCAGUAUCUUGCAAUGAAACUAACUGAGAGAGCUGACUGACCCCUACGGUCAACCAAGCACCACGUUGUGCUGCAAUAGUAUUUAGUUAGUAUCGCUAUCACCAUUCACCAACCCCCCCUCCUCUACCUAUCUACAAAGAGUUAGGUGAGCUCAACCUCAACUCAACUUGUUGGAGUUGGUAAUAUCACAAUCACAAUUCACAACCUCAACUACCACCUUAGCACCACUCAACUUUCAAAGUUUUGAAUGAAUAAGUAUUCAAGUUUUGCAUUGCACUUUUGAAGUUGGAAAGAAUUAGUGAGAGACAGAUAGAGAUGGGAAAAAAGAGUAUAAGGGAGUUGGGUGUGGAUGACUUUGUGAAGGCUGGCUUAUCAGCAACUGAAGCCAAUGAAUUAAAGGAGCAACUGCUUAUGUCACUGUCAGUCUCCUCCAACGAUCCUGCUGAUAUAUGGGGCGAUCUCGUCAGCCGCAGAGUCCUCAAACCAUCAUACCCUCACCCACUUCAUCAGCUUCUCUAUUAUACCAUCUAUUCUGAUCAUCAAUCAUCUUCUCCCCCUCUUUACUGGUUUCCUUCUCUGUAAGUCACUCUUAUUUUUAUUAGGCCAAAUUGCACUUAUUUGUCCCCUAACUUUCACAAACUCGUGACUGUGGCCCAUUAAUUUUUAUGAUAGCACUUUUGCCCCCUAGUUUUAGCCUUUUCUGCAAAAAACUGACUACUGAUUUUGACUAAGUCAACGCACGACACAUGUGGAUAAUGAAUCACAUGCCACAGCCGCAUGUCUUGCCACAUGGACAAUGAAUCACAUGCCACAUCAUCAUAUGUGGGCAAGACAUGUUGAUGUCACACAUGUGAGGCACUGUCCAUGUGAGUCACUUUUGCAAAAGAGGCAAAAAUGUGAUUAUGAAAGUUAGGUGGUUAAAAUCGCAAGUUUGUGAAAGUUAGAGGGCCAAAAAUGCAAUUUAGCCUUUUUAUUAUANNNNNNNNNNNNNNNNNNNNNNNNNNNNNNNNNNNNNNNNNNNNNNNNNNNNNNNNNNNNNNNNNNNNNNNNNNNNNNNNNNNNNNNNNNNNNNNUUUUUUGACAACAAUGUGCUUUUACUUAUUAUAGUAGAGAAAUGGGUUUAGGAGAAUAUUGAAUUCAUUGCUUCAAAAAUUCAUAAUACAAAGGUAGUAUAUAUAGAUAGAUACAUGAGAUGAGAGAAAAAAUAGAAGUUGUGACAACAUUCUUAUAAACUUAAGGAAUGCAUAUUGGAAAUUCAAACUAGAGAUAACAUUAACAACUAAGAUAUUAUUAUUCCCAACACAACCAUGCAAGAUGGAGGCCGAUUUAAUGACUCCAAUCUUGGACUUGAGAAAAUUGCAUUGUAAGAAUGAGGGAGGUUUAGUUUGCAAGUCUGCUAACUGAUUGAUGACUUGAAGGGACAUGAGAGACCUCAAGUUUGAUUUGAAAGACUAGGUCGCACACAAAAUGAUAGCCGAUGCCAAGUGUUUCAUCUAGGAAAGGAAAAUCGCGUUGGCACAAAGAAGUCUCACAAGUUGUUGAGUCUGGUUGAAUAGCACAUGAAAACAAUGUGGACAUAGGUGUUCAAACUGGCUUAGCAUCUGUCAUAUUGGCACGGUCAGGUAACUGCCAAAUAUAGUGAUGUUGUGUUACAAAGAGUCCUUGGGAUAUCGACAAAAUCUCUACUUCCAGGAAGUGAUUUGGAAAACCAGGGUCCUCGAGAAAGAAAGGUUUAGCAAGAGAGGUCUUGAACUUGUUGAGAAAUGUGGCAUUAUUCUCUGUAGGCAAGCAAAGGUACCAUUCUUGUUUAUGAAUCCAAAUUGAAGAAGGAAAUCUUUUAUGGCAUGAAACCAGGUGCAAGGAGCUUACUUGAGGCCAUAAAGGUCCUUUUAUAGUUUAAAGCAUAAUGAGGUAAGGAUGGAGGGAUGAAGCCAGCUGGUUAGAAUCUUGAGUCAAAGAGCCGUGAAGAAAAACAUUGUUGACAUUGAUUUGACUAACAGAGCAAGUUUAUAGUAUGUGGUUUAAUAAUCGGACUAAAAGUAUCCUUGAAGUCAAUGCUAAGGUGUUGGUGAAAACCUUUUGCGACAAGUCUGACUUUGUACUUUGCAAUGUUGUCAUCUAUGCUGUGUUUUAGCCUGAAACCCCACUUAUUACCAAACCAAGCUAAAUAUGCCUAAAAAAGGGUCAGAAAUACUAACUCAACUCUGAGAUGUCUUGAGCUAACAUUUUUGCAUGCAUAAUUCCUGUCCCAUAAUAUUGAGCGACUGAGCGUAAAGUUUUAGGAUAAUCCGAGUAUAUUUUUAACUUUUCUUAAACCCCCUAGUUGCCAUUGAAGGCUUUAAGAAAACAACUCAGAGGGCUGUUGCAGAAAUCAUGGUUCAGGUAGGAGUUUGAACUUGGGUUUUUGCACACGACUUUUGUAUACCAGAAGGGCCCAAACUGCAUAGUUUGAGAUCUAGAUUUAACUUCUGGAAGGUUGUGCUGAUUAGUCAAACCUAGAGGAAUAAUGAAGGUGAGAGGGGCUGGUGCAUAGACACCUUACAUAAGGUGAGAAUCUAACUGAAAUUUUACAUCCACCUGGGAUAUAUGAAAUUUAAGGCAAACUGCAUAAAAUUUAGAUCCACUAGAUGUAGGGGGCCUAGUUUGUUUAGUACUGUUGCAGAUACUAAUUCAAUGAAAGUUAGAGGAUUCUAUUCAGUGAAAGCUAGAUAUAAUGUUCAAUGUUUCAUGAUAUCUUAAAUGUCCGUUCUAAUUCCAUUGUAGUUAAAAUGAUAUAAAUGAUGGUUCCUUUUAAGCAAUGUAUGUAAAAGAACUAAGAUUAUUGUUGUUAAAUGACAACAACACAUUAUAAGAGUUAAGCCAAGGGAAAUAGAGACAACCGAACACCUUUUAUUUUGACAGAUUUGAAUUUUGUGAAAAAACUUGAGAAACGGCGAGUGCAUUUUAAGAUUUGGUGUUGGAAGACUAUUGACUAAAUAGGCAAUUGCUUGUAAUGCAAAUGUCCAAAUGAUGCAGAUAAAGAUGAUUGAUGCAUCAAACAACAGGCUGUUUCAAAUAAAUGACGGUGUUUGUGUUCUGAAAUAUCAUAUUCCAGUCAUAUUAUAUACAUGAGAUGGGAGGAAAAAUAGAAGUUGCUACAAGAUUCAUCUAAAACAAAUACAUAUUUGAAAUUCAAACUAAGAUAUUAUUCCAACACUUAUAAUGUGUAUUCAUUGUUCAUGUAUUUAUUUAUUGUUGGUUUCUACAAUUAGAGAGCAGGCAAGACGCACAAACCUGGGCCGUCUCAUGGAAAUCCAUGGUCCUCAGAUUUUAGGAGCAUCCUCCUACAAGGAUCCUAUUACUAGUUUUCCUCUUUUUCAUAAAUUUUCUGUUCAACACCCCGAGGCAAGUGCAAGUUAGUUCCCUUUUAUGGUUACAUUUUCAUUUUAUUUCUGUAAUUUCAAUCUCUGUUAUAAUUGUAUUGUAUUGUACUACAGGUGUACUGGUCUCUUGUUCUCAAGGAACUUUCUAUUUCCUUUGUUCAACCUCCAAAUUGCAUUUUAGAUACGUCUUCCGACCCAUCAAAACACGGAGGAACCUGGCUACCUGGUUCUGUCCUCAAUAUUGCUGAUUGUUGUUUGCAACCCAGCUCUCACCCUAACAAACAAGACGACAGUAUAGCCAUUGUUUGGAGGGAUGAAGGUUUUGAUGACUCUGAGGUUAAUCAUAUCACUCUCAAACAACUUCGUCAGCAAGUCAUGUAUGCCACCUCUCAUGUCUCAUGUUUCACUUCACCAUUUUGGUUUCUUAUUGUUUUUGCGAUAUUAUUUUCAGGUUGGUGGCGAAUGCAGUAGAUGCCAAUUUCUCGAAGGGUGAUGCAAUCGCAAUUGACAUGCAAAUGACAGUCAAUGCUGUGAUUAUAUAUCUAGCCAUUGUUUUAGCAGGAUGUGUUGUGGUAUCGAUAGCUGAUAGCUUUGCACCAAAAGAAAUUGCAACUCGUCUCCGUGUUUCCAAUGCCAAGGGUAUUUUCACGCAGGUGUUCUUCUAUAUCUAGUACUAAAUAAAACUUUACCUGUAAAUCUAUUAGUUAUUUCUCAGUUACCACUUUCUCUGUAGGAUGUCAUUCGUUCUUGUUGAUUUUGUUUUCAGGAUUUCAUAUCAAGAGGUGGAAAGAAAUUCCCUUUGUACAGGUAAAAAAUUGUAAGCAUUAUACUUUAUCAUGCAAAACUAAUUUUACCCUUAGCAUUUAGGUUACACACUUUCCUCGGCAGAUAUAUGUUAGAAAUAAAUGCACAACUGCAUCUCUUUAGGCAAAACCUGUACUCUAUAGAUGUUUGGAUGCAAAACUUGAAUCGAUGAAAGAUAUUGAGCUUGCUUGAAAUCAUGUUUGAAUUUAAUGCUGUUCUUUUUACAAGUAAACCUUUGACCUCAUUCUGCAUAUUUCUUCUUGCAGUCGAGUGAUUGAGGCAGCAACAUGUAAAGUUAUAGUGCUCCCUGUGAUAGGCAAUGACGUAGGAGUACAAUUAAGAGAACAUGACUUAUCAUGGAAUAGUUUUCUUUCUUCUGGCAAACAGCAUAGGUAAUGUGCUUUACAACGUUUGUAGACUAUUAAGCCAUAUUUUCAUCUCGACAAAUGAUAAUUUUUUCUAAACAAGUUAUUCGCUGCUGAAGAUUCUUAAAACGUAAAAGGAUUGAAGAUGCAUAGUUUCUCUUUUGUUUUGUCUCACUUUAACAUUUAAAUCUCGGCAGGUCACAUCAUUACUCUCCGUUCUAUCACUCAAUUGAUUCUGUCACUAACAUACUUUUCUCAUCUGGAACCACAGGUAAUUAUUUUCUCGUAGAACAUAUAUCAAUUCAAGACUACUAUUAUAAUGAUCUCUUGUUCAUUUUUACGCUUCAGGGGAUCCGAAAGCAAUUCCUUGGACUCAACUUUCGCCCAUACGAAGUGCCGCAGAUGGAUGGGCUUGUAUUGAUAUUCAACCUGGAGAUGUCUAUUGCUGGCCUACAAAUUUAGGAUGGGUGAUGGGACCAACUCUUAUGUAUUCAUGUUUUCUUUCUGGUGCCACUCUUGCUUUGUACCAUGGAUCUCCACUUGGUCAUGGUUUUGGAAAAUUUGUUCAGGUGAUUCCUCCAAAUUUUAUAUCGAAAAUGUUAACGAGUGUUCUGGCUAAGGAAACAAAAUAGAAAGUACUUAGUAAAAUGGAAAAUGUUGUAUUAAAAACAAACAAGAGUUUAAGGACGAUGUACUAUUAAUGUAAAACUUAAGCAUGUAUUAUAAUAAAUUUUAGCAUUACACUUUUAGUGCGUAGUCCAUAAAACUCAACACAAAAAAAAAAAAAUUAAUAUACAAGUUUGUGUCAUAACAAUUAUUAAUUUCAUUUUCGGAAGUUGUAUGCUGCAUCAACAGAGUUCUAUACGUUGCACCAAUGUACAGAUUAUUCAUUUAACUACAAUUGUUCAGGAUGCAGGUGUUACCAUUUUGGGAACAGUUCCAAGCUUAGUAAAAGCUUGGAAGAGUACAAAGUGUAUGGAGGACUUGGACUGGACAAAGAUAAAGUAAUGUCUUAUAAAUUUAAAUAACCAAUUAACUUAUGUGAACAAUGAAUUAAACUGUGGUUAUAUGCAGAACAUUUUGUUCGACUGGAGAAACUUCAAACGUUGAUGAUGACCUUUGGCUUUCUUCAAAAUCUUAUUACAAACCCAUAAUUGAAUGUUGUGGAGGCACUGAGCUGGCGUCUUGUUACAUCAUGGGGAGUCCACUACAGCCUCAAGCUUUUGGAGCAUUUAGCACACCAUCAAUGACAGCUGGUUUAGUCAUCCUUGAUGAAAAUGGAGUUCCUUAUGUAAGACUUUUUUUCAGGAUAACUUAUAUGUUUAUUUAUGCCGCCACCGUCUUUAUAAAUGUUCAUUACCUUGUAUAGUAGAAAUAUUAUCUUUUGGUAUUAUAGACAAAUUUAGGUUUUCUAAUUUAUUUGAUAUCUUGGACGAAUAUGACAGCCGGAUGAUGUUCCCUGUGUUGGUGAAGUGGGCUUAUUCCCUGUGUAUAUGGGAGCAACCAAUAGAUUGCUUAACGCCGAUCAUGAGGAGGUUUACUUUAAAGGAAUGCCACUUUACAAAGGAAAGGUAUAUACUUUAAGCAAUAUCCUUAUUGCCAAUGACCAAUGUGACCAAUGAUUUUCACAUUUUGAUCAAGUAAUCUUGAAGUAUUAGUUAUCAAGGAUUUUAAUGUAAUCAAAUCCCUUUGCAGAUUACUUCAUCAUUGAUUAGACUAACCGAAAUCUUAGUUACUCUCGUUUUUCUGAUAUCAAACAUGGUAUAUAUUAUCAGAUUCUUAGAAGACACGGAGAUAUACUCAAAAGAACUGUAGGAGGCCAUCUCGUUGUACAAGGGAGGGCUGAUGACACCAUGAAUCUUGGUGGAAUAAAGGUACUGCAUCGCCCAUAAUGCUUCUCUUUAUACAUCCUUCUUACAGAUUAGGUGUAUCUUGUUUCGUGGAUUUCUCUCCUAUAAAGUAGUAAUUCACUUUAGAGGGUAAAAUAAAUAAUCUCUACCGGUAAUGAAUAAAUCGAUGGUUGAUACUUUGUUACUGGUCAUGGAUUCCUCAGAAUCUCUUACUUUAGCUUUCUAAAGUGAAUUAUCAACCAUUAUUCUUAUGUAGAAUUUUUUGUUCUAAUAUUGCAGACAAGUUCUGUAGAAAUUGAGCGUGUCUGUGAUAGGGCCGAUGAAUGUAUAUUGGAAACAGCUGCAAUCAGUGUUGCUCCUGCAAAUAUAGGUCCAGAACAACUGGUUAUAUUUGUAGUUUUAAAGAAUGGAUAUAAUUCCGAUGCGGAAACUCUAAAGAAGAAAUUCUCCAAGGCCAUUCAGACCAACCUUAAUCCUUUAUUCAAGGUCAAAUUCUCGACGUCGCUACUUUAUGGAAAGCAUUAUUAAAGCAAAAACUUAAAUGACUCGCAGAUUAAAAAAAAUGAGUUCUUAAUGGAUAUUGAAAUUUUAAUCUGAUUUGUGAUGAUUUGUAAAUUUUAUGUUGACAACUCUUUUUCUUACUAUACAGGUAAGCAUUGUUAAAAUUGUGCCUGUGUUUCCUAGAACAGCUUCCAACAAAAUACUAAGGAGAGUUUUGAGAGAUCAAAUGACACAUGAGCUAUCAGUUCAUAGCAGACUUUAGUGACAUUAUUAACUCAAAGAAGAUUAAGUUCAUUUCAUGUGCAAAAUAGAUGAAGGGACAAUUACCACCGUAAACUCUCACACACAACUGCAUGGUCACAAGUUCGAGAUGAACCUGUUCAACUUAUCAAUAUUGACAUUUGACAGUUGAGUUAGGUAUUACGAACACAAUCUAUAAGCCUUAUUAGGUAGUCUAUAUAAUUGAGUAAAUUUAAUCCGUCAAAUUUAUUAAUCAUUAUUGCUUUUUUUUUAUUAAUAAUAAAAAUGAUUGCUUUUUGAAAAGUGGGAAAUCUCACAUUUACUUUUUAGUAGUAUGUGUUCUAUUCUAUUGGUAGUGGUAAACUAUGAGGGGCCAAUCCGCCAAAUCUUAGUAUGUUCAGACAAAAUUACAUGAUUAUUGUGAAUAUUUGUUGCACUAUAUUUUCCUUUCAACUUGCAUUUAUAAAAUAUUUUACACAGUCACUAUAUCACUAAAUUUUAAUGAAAUCUAUCUAAAUAUUACAUAAAUAAUGUUUAGUAAUCAAAAUAUGUCAAGUAAGGUGUCAUUUGAUUAUUACUUAUACUUUUGAAAAUCCGUAUAAAUUGUAAAAGAGAUAUAAAGAUAAAGAGCUGUGUUAUUUCAACACAGUUUUCCAAACACGUAUUUGACGUAGUAGAUAAAUUGAGUCUGUGCACGCAUACCGGAGCAGAUUAAAAAAUUGUAAAAUGGUAUAUUUAUCAACUUUGUGUUUAAAAUUUGUGUUUGCAUAACAUUAUUGAAAGAUAAACAUAUGUAGUAUCACGUACCGUAUUUAUAUUUUUAAGACCUGACCAACUUAUUUAGAAGCCUAAAAAGUAAGAGUAUAGGUAUUGUUUGGCCUGACUUUUUUUUUCCCUCUUAUUUAGAGUGUAUGCAAACAACUUAUGCAAUUUUUAUAUAUUAUUAUAAAUUUGUCAAAGUAGUUUAUGAUAAAAUAGCUUAUAAAAAUACAAUUUUCACUAGUAUGAACUUAUAAAAUAACAUAAAAUUUAAUUUAUAUUACAUAAGCUGUUUGCAUAAGCUUAAAAAAAGUUGGGCCAAACGGACCCUUUGAAAUUGAUAUCUUCUUUUGGCUAUAUAUAUUUAUCUUUGCCAUUCAAAAUAAAAAAAUAUCUUCUUUUGGCCUCUCCUAUAUUUCUCGUGUGCCACGAUACAGUUUUUUUUGUGUUUUUGGUAUUGCGGAAUUUGAUGGGAUAUAUUUUUGUGGAGAUAUGGAGAAGAAAAUAUAUUUUUACAUGUUCUGCAAUACCAAAAACACAAAAAAAAUCAUAUUAGUGGUAUCAGAGCGUGAGAUUCAUGUUGAUUUUUGUUGUUGUUGUUCAUCCACAUUCUUUGUUGCUGUUUUUGUUUAACACUCCUCCUAACUGAAUAUUUUUGUGUUGUAUUCAGCCUGAGAUUCAUGUUGAUUUUUAAAUAAUAAAUUAAUCCUAUAAAUUCUAAACAAAUCCUAAAUAUUCAAAACAAAAAUAUUAAUCUUAAACCCUAAUAUUAUUUUAUUUGAAAUAUAAAUAUAAAAUAUAUUUAUAUUUGAAAUCUUCAAAAAAGAUAUUUAGUCAUUAUUCUCAACAUGUCCUUCUAUUUUUUUAUUUUAUCUUUCAUUACUUAAGUAUGGGAUAUUAUAAAAAUAAGAAAUUUGAAAAAAAAUCUCAUAACAUGAAAUUUUCAAGAUUUUAAAUGUCUACUCUAUAAAAAUAAGAAAUUUGAGAAAAAAAAAAAUACCUCUAACAUAAAAAUUUCAAGAUUUUAAAUGUCCACUACUUAACUAGUGGACGUUAUAAAAAUGAAAAAUUUAAGAAAGAAAAAAUCUCCUANNNNNNNNNNNNNNNNNNNNNNNNNNNNNNNNNNNNNNNNNNNNNNNNNNNNNCAAAAAAAAGUUCUCCUUAAAUUUAGAUAAAAAGGUUGUAUGAAGUUUUCGCCUUUAUAAACUUGAUUAAGGAAUCAUUUACAAUAAAAUGGUCAUAUAUUAUAUGAGUUAGGAUCCGUUGACACCAGGUGUCAAACUUUAAUUUGACACCAAAUCUCAACCGUCUAUUUCUUUUAAUCAAAGGCUAAUAAUAGUUUCCUAUAUUAACUCAUGUGUGUAUCUAUUUAGGAGAUUCAUUAUUUUUAGAUUGCAUAAAAAUUUGAUUUGUUGUUCUACAAAAAAAAAAUUGUACAAAUAAAAUAAUAAUAAUAAUAAUAUUUUGUUGCUCUAGAAAACAAAUUGAUUUAUUGUUAUUCAAUCACCCCAAACAUUACUAUUCCCCUUUACGUUUUCAUUCUCAUGGUGUAUGAAUUGAGUUUAUNNGUUUUAGUAUAGAAAACAAUUUUAAUUAAAUUGAGUUUGGUAGUAGGUUGUUUAUGUGCAUAGUUUGCAAUUGACAUUGGCAGUUAAGCAAAGGAGAAUGAAAACGCAAGGAGAAUAGUAAUGAUGGGGAGGGAUAACAACAAUUUAUUUUUGUAGAACAGCAAAUCAAUUUUUUUUUUGUAGAAAAUUUUUUUUUUUUUGGUAGAACGCUUAUCAAUUUUUUUUUUGGUAAAACAACAAAUCAAAUUUUUAUGCAACCUAAAAAUAAGGAAUCUCCUAAAUAGAUACACACAUGAGUUAAUAUAGAAAACUAUUAUUAGCCUUUGAUUAAAAGAAAUAGACGGUUGAGAUUUGGUGUCAAAUUAAAGUUUGACACCUGGUGUCAACUGAUGCUAACUCAUAUUAUAUAUGCAUAAUAAAAUUGAAAUUGAAAAAGUAUAAAAUUUUGAGGUCUAAAGUUCUAACUUGAGCAAUUUAACUUUUAAACGUAACCUACAUAAGUUUUUUCUUUUUUGUCAAAUCAACCCCACUUAUUUUAAUCUUCACCACUCAAAUAUUAUUACAACACACCGACACUUGUUUAAGUGUUAAUCAAACAUUGAUACUAAAACAUUGAAUUGGAUUUGGAUUGGGAAACAACCAUGCUGGAUGAAACCAACUAAACACAUGAAAUGUCAAUUUCCUUGAGUUGAGACAAAGGAUAUAACUAGAAGUAGAACAACCUAUGCUAUAUGCACCAAAUUUAACUACCUAUUUUAUGGAAACAAAGACCUCUUCCUUUGAUAUGUUGGAUUGGAUAGGAUAAGGAUUCAAGAUUAUUAUGUCCAAUUGUCCAUGUCAACUUUAAACUUCACAUUAUUCAAACUGAAAGCGAAAUAUGUGCUUCUAGAAUCUUAGGGGAUAAGUUUAGAAAAUACAGUUGAAAAUAAUGUCCAAUUGAGUGAAAAUAAUGUGGUGUUAAAAAUCACUUGUGUGUGCGUCAAAAAAAAAAAUCACUUGUGUGAUUACUCUUAUCCCAAUAUAUCGAUUCAACUAAGUUAAAAAUUUUUUCAACGAUUCAAUAAAUACUUCAGUUGAUAGCUAUAAGAAGAUGAUUUGGAGUGACUUUGAUUCAAAUGAUUUUACAAUUUUUUAUAUUUAAAAUAUAUGAGUCUAGUUCUAGUCACUAAAUUAUUAAACAAAAUAAAUUAAGAGAUAAGAUCUUUUGUUGGUGUUACAUCACUUACAUGUAACUAUAAGUAUUUAAAUGCAUUUUUUUGGACAGAUGUUUUAUUUAAAUUCAUGUUGUCCUCUCAAUUUAUAUAUACUAUAGAUUUUUAUUUUUGCUAUACCAAUCAUAAAUUGACUUUUGAUUAAAAAAAAAAAUCAUAAAUUGAUGUAUAUAAGAUAAUAAUACACUCUUCAAAUUAAGAAUAUCUUGAGCAUGGAAUUUGCAUGAUGAUAAGAUGUCUACUUAUGGGUGAAUAAAUGUAGAAUAAAUAAAGUCCAAAAUUUAGUGGUGAAAAGAUUUCUAAUUUUACCUAUAAUUAGUUGAUAUAAUGGUAAUUGACAUUGAACUUUGUAUGAAGGAUUACGGUUCGAUCUUCCGCAACUGCGAUCAGAAGGGGGUUGAAAUCACUUGAUAUUAGAAUUAAUCUCGAACCAAAUUAGACGGUCUAGUGACCAAAGCUGCAUUUAUAGAUAAGUUUGUUUGUGGCCAGAUGGAGGUAAUGAAUAGUGAUGAAUGCAAUUGUUUUCCUUCACACUUCAUAGUCUUGGGGUCGCUUUCUUAGAAACAAAAAUCAAAUUUAGCUUCAAAUCAAUAAGAAGAUCACUAUGACUCACUCACUCUCUAGUCUCUACUGCAAUCACACUCACAAUGGCCACAUUUUUUCUCCCAACCUGUCUUGGUUUCUUUGAAUUUCAAGCAUAUUCCAAAUCACACAAUAACACUCUCUUCCUAACCUUGUCCCCUUUGCCCUACCUCUUUAUGUUCCUAUUACUUAAUUUGUAUUAGACAUAAGCAAGUUUGUUAAUAGUUUGUUUUCAGUUAAUUAGUUUAGAGUUUGCGUUAGUUAUCAUCAUUAAGUUAAUGUCAAACGAUAUAAAAACAUAUUGAUUAUUAGAACAUGUUUUCUUAUAUUUGGUCACUUUGCCUGGAAUAGUUUUUAGGGCUACAUGUCCCACUGUAAAAGCCUCGGUUCUCAAUUUCACAAGUGGUAAAAUCUCGUCAAAUCCAUAUACCAUAAUAUUCGUCGGUCUAAGAGUUGAUCUUCCCUCUCAUAAUGAAAAUUUCUUAUCUAUAAAUUGGUAACAAAAAAUUCAAAUUUGUGGAUCCGCCAAUUCCUGAUGCAAAUAUCCAAACAGUAGUAGUACUUUGUUGCGUAUUGAAUGAGUAUAUUUGGUGUAAGACGGGCCUAGUAAUACUGCUACAACAACGACCAAUCGUCAACUACUUAACUUUUUUGAGACUCAAAUUAUCACUCACGUACUCCAUCAAUAUGGGUUUUCCCCACACACGUAUACAACCUUAUCCACUUUGUUGGAUGUGAGUCGGUUAAUUUUUCCUUAGUUUUGAUUGUUUUUUGUGAUGAAGAGAUGAAUGAAAGAGAAAGAAAGUUUAUUUUAAUUCAAGAAUCGAAAUCUAAAAGACUCUUUCAUGAAUAACUGUGCUUAAAAAUAAGAAUCAAGCAAUGGCAAUUUUACGUACUCUCUCCAACGGCAAUAAAAUUUAAGGAUAAGUUACUUGGUCUAAGAAUCAAGCUAAGUAAUUUGCGAUAAAGAUGCUCUAAGAGCAUCCACAGUUGAGCUAUUCAUCUUUUCGGUACUUAACUGAGUCUCACAUGUACACAUCACUCAUUUAUAAUUUUUUAAUAGGAAAAACUAAAUGAUGCGAAUGUGUAUUUCGUGAAUUCAACUAAUGGAUUAUAGUCAUCUGAUCAUAGUUAAUUUAGUCGACUGUGAUCUACUAUUGGUUUUAUUUAUUUUUUUGAUAAAUUUUUAUAUUUUAGGACAGAGAGAGUAAGUAUCAUACUCCCUUCCGUCUUAUAUAUAAGGAACACUUUGGAAGAAAAAAAUUGGUCUUUUUUAUAAGCAACACUCUUUAAAUUUAUUCUUUUUUAAAUAGAUAAUCUCUUGUAUACCCUUAUUAAAUUGUAUAAAAUGCAACAUAUUCCAAUGUUAUGCAUUAAUUAUACAGACACAUUCUCAAGGUUAGUUUUGGAAUAACACAUAACAUUUUAGAAUUUUUAAUAAAAAAAAAUAAGCUUCCUGUGUUUUUCUCAAUGUGUUUCUUAUAUAUAGGACCGGAGAGAGUAAUUGAAUAUGGUCUUAAACCUACACCAUCCUACCAAUAUUGAGACUUUGCAAUAUGAAGUUAUGAACACCCAACAAUGACAACAAUGUUCAAAUGGGGGUGUUGUACUGUUAGGAGAUGAAUGUCAACUCCUUAUUUAGUUUUUUUGGUUGAAACAACAAUGAGUUGUAAUCGGUGAAUUGAAUGAACAUUGAUAUACAUCACAUGCAUAAUGCCUUUCAUGAUGGAUUUUUAAUAUAAUAGCCAUAAAUCAAUAGACACAACUUAUAGCAUAUUAUCUAUUAGAUUGGAUCAAGAACAGCGUACCUUUAUGAUCUUGGAGAACGGUGUCGACAUAAACAAGCAUGAGAAUCUGAACUACCCUCAUCGCCGUUAGUGUCUCAGAGAGUCGGGUUUAACUUUCUGUUGAAACGUCUGAUGAGAUAACGUUUAUAUAACUGAACGGCUGAGGGCAAGGACCUCUCAUUGGGCUUAACUGAAUGGUUCAACCCAUCACGGUCCAUUCAAAAACAAUAGUUCGAUCAAAUAAUUCAUCAAUAAUUAGGUGCUUAAUAUAAUAGACCAUAAUUUAUAUAAACAAUAAUUUCCAAUAAUUGAUUAUUGUCAAUCCAUAAUUGAUUAAUUAAAUAAUUAAUCCAACAUUUCAUGAUAAUAGAGUCGGUCAGAGUCCAAAGCUACUCAUAUCCGUUUAAGGAUAACACAUUUUAAGCAAAAGUUUUAAGUCCAAAAAAAUAUUUUAAAAAAUUAUUAAGAGAAAAUGUCGUGAGUUAUAAUUUAUUGUAGUUCAGAAUAAAAAAUAUCCUGAAAAAAGAAAAAAUUAAUGUUUUCCACGAUAUAAAAUAAUGUAAGACUUAAAAUUCUAUUCUAUAAAAAAAAUAUUUGAGACUGUUGAGAGAUGAAUGUCAACUCAUAUUUGUUUGAAAAAACAGUAAGUUGUAAUUGGUGAAUUGAACAUUGUUAUACAUCACGUGCAUAACGACAUUCAUCAUCUGAAUAUAUAUUUACUUAAAUGUAGUUUUCAGAUUAUUUUUUUUCAAUCACAUUCUAGUAUUUUUUGUUCUAUUUUUCAAAAAAUUAAUUAUUUCGAAAAACGUUUUUAUAAAAUUCAAAUAUUUCGGAAGGAACGCAUAAUCCGAAAUUGGUUUGGAAAACAUUUUUUUAAGUGAUUUUGAAAAACGUGUUUCAAAAUUCUGUUAUUUUUUACCAGAACUAUAAAUUUGUUGUUCUAACCUGAUUUUUCACUAGUCACAAUCUUUUUUUUACCCUAUUUUACUAAUUAGUAUCAAAACAUAAUAAAAAAUAUAAUUGUGUUGAUGGAUGUGAGAUAUAAACAUCUCACUUGGAUUUAAUGGGAGAAAAAUGUCAAUUGAGACAAUCUACUCCUGCCUAAUUGAAUACCGCAGCUUCAACUUAAUAGAGUAUGAAGGAAAAAUGUGUUCAAUUUGUCGGCUACAAGACAGACAAAUUAGAUAGCAUAUGAGCUACAUUUUUUUGUUUUAUCAUUGUCAUUUUAUAUCAAAACUGUUGUUUUUCGAAAUGAGUAUCGAAACUAUUGUUAUGAAUAAAAUGUAUUGAUUUUGUUUAUAUAAAAAAAAUAUAUAUACAUAUGUAAAAGAGUCUUUCUAAAUGACUUAGAGAAUAAUUUUCAUCUAUAUACGGUGUAAAAGUUGGUAAACAAUAUAAAUUCAUUUGACUAAAAAAUAUCAGUUUUUCAAAAAAUAGAUUAUAGCUUAUUUUUCUAACGUUAUUUUAAGUAGUUUAUGAACUUAUAGCUUAUCAUUUUUUUCCUUUCGAUUUUACCUCUGUUAUCUUACUUGAAAAAAUUAAAUAUUAAUUAAACAUAUAUUUUUUGUGUCAUUUCAUAUUUAUANNNNNNNNNNNNNNNNNNNNNNNNNNNNNNNNNNNNNNNNNNNNNNUUUUUUUUUGAAGAAGCCAAAGAAAUAUAUUAAAAAUUAAGCACAAGGUGUGCUUAAAGAUAAGAAUUCAUACACGAAGAAAAACAAACAAAGUAUGGGAUCAUCCUGUGUUGAGCCCUAUACAAACUUUUGGAUUUAGCAUCCAAUGAUUUAAAUCGUAACAAAAACCCUUUUUCCUCGGCUUAAACCACCACCAGACUUGAAAUUUGGUGGUAAAGAUUAACCUGUCAAUAGUAAUUAUCUUUCCAUUAAACACUCUAUCAUUUCUAGCUUUCCAAAUAGACCAGAUGGAAGCUAACCAAAUUGUUUGUAAGCAUGUUUUGAUAUUUUUUACUAAAACCAUGAGCCCCAUAAAUUUGGGAAGCCAACGACAUUGCAUUAUCAGGGAGAACACAAGUGAUCCCCAACCAGGAAAUGAUGGCACUCCAAACCGCACCAAAAAUGGGACAAUCAUUACGUAAACAUUCACGCGUAAAAAUAUUAAACUUUCACGCGUAAACAGGGAAUCAUUACGUAAACAUUCACGCGUAAAAAUAUUAAACUUUGUGUGUAACCUGUCAUUAAUAAACCGUCAAGCAAGAGUAAACACCUUUGAUGGUACAAGCUUAUUCCAAAUAAGAUCGUUGUGAGGACAUAUCUCACGGGGAUACAUGUAAAUCAACAGAUGAUAAGUUCCACCUACUGAAUAACAUGUACCCUGGUCGGGAAUCCACUCCCACACAUAAGGAGAAUCAACCUGCAACACAUAUUAGCCACAAUUAUUCCUCUCAAGCCACCCAUUCCCUCCUAACUCCCAUCCGAGGCUACACAUAUAUGUCACGGUCACCUCCUUAUCUAAGCACAAAUCAAACAAUCUACCAAAUUGAGAUUUCAACGAAAUCCCAUCAACUCAAUUAUCCUUCCAAAAUAAGUUAGUUCAACGAAAUCACAGUAUUUAUAAUUUAGUUCAACUGCUAAUUUUAUCAAACACUACAAGAUUUGACUUAUUUUUGAACUUAUAAAAAUAACUUAUACAAAUAAAUAAAUUAAAUUUUUAUGUUAAUUCAUAAAUUUUUACUAGCAAAAAUUGUAUCUUUAUAAGUUGUUUCCUCAUAAUCUACCUUGAAAAAAUUAUAAUAAUACAUAAAAGUUUAUUUAUUUAUAUAAGCUGUUUCGCAUAAGCUCAAGAAUAAGUCAAUUCAAAUAGGCCAAAAUUCAAUCACAUAGGUUAUUCCCCAUAAGCUAAAAGCUAAUUUAUAAGCUAUUCACCAAUAAUCCCUACCAGUAUCUGAUUGCUCGAAUUAUGCUCAUUCAUACCAAAUUCAUUAAUUUAUGGCACUUGAAGUGUUUAAUGGGUCGACACAAUUAAUUAAAUAACAUGAAAAUGUCUAAAUCUACAAUUCAUUCAUUAGCUUCAACCAAUUACAUUUGGACGUGAUUAUUGGGUUGAGUUUUCUAUUAACGGUUCGUAUCGUUAUAAAUGCUCCAAAACCCACUCUCACAUUUCAUCUUCACAUUCACUCACUUCCACUUUACAAAACCAAAAUUCAAACACACAGAGCCAAAAUGGAUAUACUAUCUCACUCACAGUUCAUUGAGUUAAUACCCGGUUUACCGAGCGAACUCGGUCUCGAGUGUCUCACUCGUUUACCUCACUCAACACACCGAGUUGCAGCUCGAGUCUGCAACCAGUGGCGAACCUUACUCCAAAGCGAUGAUUUUUACUUUCACAGAAAAAAAACCGGUCAUACCAAAAAAAUGGCUUGUUUGAUUCAAGCACACGAACAACCACAAGUGGAAAAACAAACUGGGUCAACUCCACCGAGUUACGAUAUCACUGUGUUUGACGCGGAGAGUAUGUCAUGGGAUCGGAUUGACCCGGUUCCGGAAUAUUCAUUCGGGUUACCUUUGUUCUGUCAAUUAACAAGCUCCGAAGGGAAGCUUGUGGUUAUGGGUGGAUGGGACCCAGCGAGUUACGAGCCUUUGACGGCGGUGUUUGUUUAUGAUUUCCGAACGAACGUGUGGCGGCGAGGGAAAGAUAUGCCGGAGAAACGGUCUUUCUUUGCAACCGGGUCGGGUCAUGGUUUGAUUUAUGUUGCUGGUGGACAUGAUGAGAACAAGAACGCGCUGAAAACUGCAUGGGCUUAUGACCCGAAAAGAGACGAGUGGACGGUGUUGGCUCCGAUGAGUCAAGAAAGAGACGAGUGUGAGGGAGUGGUUGUUAACGGCGAGUUUUGGGUGGUUAGCGGUUAUGCUACUGAGAGACAAGGGAAUUUUGACGGGUCGGCGGAGGUAUUAAACAUCGGGUCGGGUCAAUGGAGAAGAGUUGAAGGUGUUUGGGAAGCGGGUCGGUGCCCCAGGUCAUGUGUUGAUAUUAGAGAAAAUGGGGAAGUGGUGGAUCCGGGGCUCCGGAUUGGUGUUUGUAGUAUUAGGGUCGGGUCGAUUAACUUGGUGACUGGAUCCGAAUACGAAGGAGCACCGUAUGGAUUUUAUUUGGUGGAUAAUGAAGAAGGGCAAAACCGUAAAAUGAGAAAGAUAAGUAGUGUUCCUGAUGGUUUUUCUGGGUUUGUUCAAUCUGGGUGCUGUGUUGAAAUCUAGUGAGUAUUACCAUAGAGCAUCACCGUCAGAUUAAUUAAAAAAUUAGUAAAACUUAUCUCACUUAAUCUAUGGAUUAAGUGAAAGCGAAGUAAAUAUAAUUUUUUUUUUCCUGAUGUGCAUUAUAAAUACUACAAAUAUUCUGCUUUACAAAAAAAAUGCAAAUGUCCAAAUCUGGCAGCCAAAUGGGAAGAGAUUAUUGUACUUUGUAGUGUUGGGCUGGAGAUUGGCAUCAUAAUCUGUAAUACUAGUAUGAUUUUUCUAAUGAGUGUUUGGUUUUUCCAUUUGCGUCGUAUUUCUCACGUCUCAAUGUGCUUAUUAGAAUAUUAUUUGUCAUUAUAACGCGAAUUUUGGGAAGCUACAUUUUCAAACUUCUGUGUAGUCGUGUGUUUGUUGCCUCUUGAACGUUGUUUCAAAUCGACUACUAAUCUUAGAUCUAUCAUUCACUUGUUACGAAAUGCAUUUUUGGUUUCGCGGUGAAUUUAGCAUAGCAGAAUUAUAGUAUCACUAUUAUUUUUAUGGGCUAAUUUUUUAUUUAUAUAACAAUAAUUACGAAAAUAAUACAUGAUAAGGUAGCAUUUUGUUUGUUAUACAUAAAAAAAAAAAAUAAAAAAAAACAGAAAUAGAAAAUGUUUUUUUUUUCUUUUAGAUAAAAAAAAUAGAAAAUGGUUUGAUUGUUGCAUAUCCUUUCCUUAGAAAACACCAAAAGGGAUAUAACAUGAAUCAAUUGUUUGGUUCAUUGGUGGGUAUUAUGCUGAUCCAUCCUUUUCACUUGUAUUGAAUUAAGUAAGGAUAAACAAACAUUUAAUCUUAAGUAUAUUACUCGAACAUUUCAUUACCUGUUUUGCAUCUAUUUAAGCUUAUUUGAUGCAUCUAUUUAAUAAGUGUGAACUUUUCUUGAUGCAACUAUAGUAUUUAGCUUAUUUGAUGCAUCUAUCUUUUAUCUUUUAUUACUAGUAAAAGGAAGGUUGAGUUGCUCCAAAACCUUCAUUGUGAUGAUGUGGCACCUCUAAUAAAAUUGCUUACAAAAGGAUAUAUCAAUACUAAAAAAUAAAAAAUGAAAAAUUAAAUUAAAAGGGACCAACUAAAAUUAAAUACUCCUAAAACAAAACGGAAAUUUUUCAUAUAAUUUAUGNNNNNNNNGAAAACUAAGAUCUUAUACGAUUACACUAUUAAAAUAAAAUAUGAUUCUAAAAUAUUAUAAGAGAUCUAUUACAUUAAAUUAUAAACAAAACUACGAUAUAAAUUAAUGAAAAAUCUCAUAUUUCUAUACAACUUGUUUUUUUUUUAAUUUAUACUUAUAUACUAAUAUAAAAUAUAAUCAUAUUUUAAAUUAAUGUCUAUCUUUUAACUAUAUAUAUGAUUAUACUUAUCACAAUUAUUAUUUUUUAUUUAUAAAAAUAUUUUAAUCGAACCCGUGCAACGCACGGGUUUAUUCCUAGUUUAAUAUAGAGAAAACGUGUCGUAGAAGAAAAUGCAAUCUCUAUGUCACUAUCUGUGGAAGAGGCAAAAGUUAUUGAAUAAAUGUUACUUCGGUCAUUCGAGUCAAAAUAAUUUCAAAUGAUAUCUUUAAUGCAAAUUUUUCUUCUCUUCCAAUUAGGGUUGGACAUCAGUUCGAUUCGGUUUGGUUUCGGGCUCAAACCCUAGAAUCAGUCGGACCGAUGGGUGACAUAUGCAUAAUCAUAUCGAACCAAUUAAAUACUUGGUUUAGUCGAUUUAUGGUUUCUCGGGUUGACUCGGUUUCGGUUCAACGGUUUAAACAUUUUUUAAAAAAUUUGUUUUUUCUCAAAUUUUUAAUUAAAAUUGGUCCAAUACAAUUGCAGGUUACUUGUGUCAUUUUUUGUCCAAACUUUUUUUCCCCCAAUUUCCUGGGCCUUUAAAUUUAGCCAUAUUGUUAGCCCAUUAUUUUCUGUUUUUUUAUCCAAAUAUUUUGUUUAAAUCUUUGGUCUAAAUUUUUAAUUACUUAUUUUUUCAAAUGAUUAUGCUGUUAGUAGCUAUAUGCUUGAUAAUAAUUGAUAAUAAUUGAUAAUAAUAAUAAUAAAUUAAUAAUGGUUCGGUUUUGGUUUGCAAUGGGCCGAAAUCUUCCAAUCGCAAACUGCCCAUUUAAUGCCUUAAUAUCCACGACUACACAAUUCUAACCCGCGGUUCCACAGAAACCGACCCAAAAUGCUCUGUUUCGGUUUAGGCCUAACGGGUUCAAUCGGAUUGGGUCGGUUGUGCCCAACCCUACUUCCAAUCAUAAGAGAUUCAACUUAUACGGAGUAUUUCCUUUUGUAGAGGUUUUUAGUUUGCUUAGAGUUUUCUUUUUUCGUAUGUUAACUUGGAGAAGAAUCCUUAAUAAUUUGGAGUUAAGCUACGAGAUACUCCCUCAUGUCUUUAUUAUAAGAGAAAAUUUGUUUUAUAUAUUCAUAGAAUGUUUUAUGUAUCUAGACCAUAUUAUGAACUAGACAUAUCAAAGAUUCAAUUAAUCUAAAAAACAAAUUUUUUCUUAUAAUAAAAAUAGGAGGGAGUAAGUAAAAUCCGACAAAAAAUUAUUUCACAAAAAUCGAUCUCAAUUUCUCUCGAACAAUUUGUUCUAUGCUGGAAUUCAUUAACCAUUGGGUUCAAUCACUUUUUUUUUUUUCUAAAAAAAAAUCAAACUUUGAUUUAUACAGUAUAUCAACAAGGGAUUGUAAACGGAUAUAGGGGAGGUUUCUUCAACCCAUAUUUACAUUCGGGUUAUCUAAAGUAUUAUGGGCAAGCAAAUGGGCCACUUGGUUCCCCCGACCUACUCAGAAAAAUUCUCUUUCCCUCCUCCCCAAAAAUUUCUUUCUCACUCAGAAAACUUCGUAAAAGGUUUCCGAAAUUUUUUUUAGAGUAAAUUUUAAUUGAAUUUAUACUAAAAAAAACUUCGAAAAACGUUUUCCAAAUUUUUUCGUGUUAAAAAUGAAAUGUGGGGAGAGGUGGAAGAGAAAUUAUCACUUACCCUGUUAUCCACAUGUCUAAUUUCAAUUCUUGCCUUCAAUUAUUUGCCUCUAUUUUGUUUUGUUAAGGUUUUUUAUUUUGUGUAAAAAAAGAGUUUUUUUAUUCAUUUUAUUCACAAAAUAAUUUUUUUAUAAAUAGAAAGUCGUGAUUUUAAAAGUAGUCACUUAAUUUAAUUUCAGAUAACAAUUUGGGGUCUGUUUAUAUCAGUUUUUUUUUUUUUAGCUUGUAAAAAAUAAUUUAUACGAAUAAAUAAACUUUUAUAUUAAUUUAUAAUUUCUCACUAAUAAAAAUUGUAUCUUGAAGAACUAUUUUUCAUAAACUACCUUGAUAAAUUAUAAUAAUACAUUAUUUCAAAAAAUAGCUAUAAUAAUACAUCAAAUUUAUUUAUUUGCAUAAAGUUUUAAGUAUUUUGGACCUUAAAAUUUGAUUGAUACAAAGACUUUUGUUCGGGUUUUCAGUGUUCUAAGUUCUAAUCACUCUCUUCUCCUCUUUCGUUUUCAGUUUUCAAUUUUCAUUUUCUGAAAACCCCCCAAAACCCUGUUUCCAUGGAUUUUCAAGUCGUCGUUCUCGCCGGCGGCGUCUCCAAAAAACUCCUCCCCCUCGUUUCAAAGGUAACAACAUAUCUGACUCAUAUUCAUUCACCUCUCUUCCUUCUUAUUACUCUUUAUGUUCGCUUCGGAAAAUCAAAUUAGGAAUUUCAAAUUUGAAUUAUAUCGCAAACAUUUCUUUUCGGUUCGCAGGAACUUCCGAAUGCUUUACUUCCGGUGGCUAAUCGUCCGGUUCUCUCUUACGUUGUUGAGCUUUUGGAGCUUAGCAACCUUAAAGAUCUCAUUGUGGUACCAUUCUUAUAACAAUUUGUAAAUUGUAGUGAUUUCAAUGAAUUGGCAGUGAUAUUUUAGUGAUUAUGUGGUUUUUUUGAGUAGGUAGUUGAAGGUAAAGAUGUUGCUCUUAACGUUGGUGCUUGGAUUUCUGGAGCUUAUGCUGAUCGUCUCCAUGUCGAGGUUUUCAUUUUUUUAUUCUUAUAAUUCUUAAGUUGAUUAUCUCUAUAUAUCUCAAUUGUCACAUUAUCCGUGGUGUAUAUUGUUGGAUUUGGCUAAUUUAAAGUGAUUAGCUAGUAAAGUGAGAAAAUUCAUGAUUGAUAUUUCAAUCGCGUUUUGUUGUGUUGUUAAAGAGUCUCACAUUGGAUGAGAGAUGAUUUGAGCACGGGUUUAUAAGUAGAGGCGAUACUGACCUUACAAAUUUUAAUAGUUAUGUAUGUGUUUGUAUUGUCAACUAUGAACUAUUGAUUUGUUUGUCAACCCUUGAUACUUUACUUAGUUUACUCUUUAAUGUGAAUUAUUUAGAUGAUUUGGAUUGUAGAUUCUUAUAGAUUUUAUUUGAUUUUGACCUUAGAGUAUUAUUGAUACUCUAUGUCUCUAUCCAAAUGUGUGAUGAUUUUGUGUUUAUAAAUGUCGUAGGUUGCUUCAGUUCCGGAGGAUGUGGGAACAGCCGGUGCAAUUCGAGCAAUUGCACACCAUCUAACCGCGAAAGAUAUUUUGGUGGGUAUCCAUUUUCUCUGUUGCUUAACCAUGAGAUCAUGGUGAUAUUGAUCUUUAUGGUUGUUUUAAAUUUCUGCAGAUUGUAAGCGGUGAUCUUGUUUCCGAUGUGCCGGUUGGUGCUGUUGCGGCUACUCAUCGACGACAUGAUGCGGUUGUCACUGCUUUGCUCUGUAAUGCUCCUAUAAGUGGACCUUUGGAGUCGGUGUCUUCUGGUGGGAAAGACAAAACCAAGAAACCUGGCCGCUAUGAUUUGAUAGGGUUGGACCCUACAAAACAGUUUUUACUUCACAUAGCUACUGGUUAGAUCUCCAUAGCUUACCCUUAUUAUAUGUGCUAUUUAGUGACUUACUGCAUACGUUCCACAUCUCCCAAGUUGAAUCCUGCAACAAUUUUCAGGAGCUGAAGUAGAAAAAGAUCUUCGAAUUCAGAAGAGCAUACUUCGUGCCGUUGGCCAGGUUUUUCUUUUUUUUUCCCCUAGUUUCACCUGCCUUGAAUUUAUCCUAUUUUAAAAAGCUACUGGUGUGAAAAUUUUGUGCUAGUUCUACAACAUUUCUUUCAAGUACAUUUUUGUGUUAUGUACAGUUAUUGCAUGUCUUAUCCAGCCCAUAGGACAAUGUUAUUAAUGAAUUUCUUUUUCUGUCUGUCAAUAGUUGGAAAGUUGUUAUUAUGCUUAUGCUCAAAGUAAGAAAAGUCUUCUAUCUUAUACAAAAUGUAGAAAUAAAUGAAUUUAUAAUACAAGUAUAUAAAAUUAAACGAAAGAGUUAUACAUGUUCUCAUUUAUCUUUAGUCAUUUUUUCUUAUGGUAUUUAUUUUCUGCAAUUUGUUCUUCACGUAGAUAGAAAUAAGAGCCGAUCUAAUGGAUGCCCACUUGUAUGCAUUCAAAAGGUAUAUUCAUCUACUUUUUGACUGCCUUAUAUAUUCUAAAUCUUAAAUUACCCAUGAUUGUUCCUGAAACAUAACUUUAUUGCAGAUCAGUUUUACUAGAAGUUCUAGAUCAGAAGUCUGCGUUUCAAAGCUUAAAGCAUGAUGUAUUGCCAUAUCUUGUCCGCAGCCAACUGGUUAGUUGUUUAAGGUUUUUUGCAGAGAGAUAGUUUAAGGGAUGCUAAACUUGUUGUAAGGAUUCUAACCUGGUUAUAAUUUUCUGAAUGAGAGCUAGAAAUCAGAAGUAUUAUUAAAUGGUACACCACAAGCAGAAGAAAAUGGAACUGAGAAGGUUAAUUCUCAAAGCAAUCAACAAAUGAUAUCUCAAAUACUUGCUAAUGCAUCUGAGCCGACCUUUCAUCUACGACAUACACUUGGUACUAUUGGUUCUGAUUCUGUUCGAAGAGCCCAUAAAUGUUGCGUUUAUAUUUCUGGGAGUAGCAAGUACUGUGCUCGCCUGAAUUCUAUACAAGCAUACAAUGAUAUAAACCGAGAUGUAAGUUUUUUUGUUUUGUCAUGGCUUUUUAUCAAGCACCUGAUAUUGCUUUACAUUUUUCUCAGGGCACAGUUAGGCUUACUUGGGCUUUAUUCAUUUUUUAAUGCGACAGGUAAUAGGAGAAGCUAGUCAUUUGUCAGGGUAUUCCUUCUCUGCUCAUAACAACAUUAUCCAUCCUACUGCAGAGCUUGGGGCAAAAACAACUGUGAGUUAGUUAAAAUCACUGCAGAGAAUGCAGACAAUUCAUAACGAAUUACAGCUUUUGUUCCUUAGCUGUGGUUUAUAGAAUUCAGUUUCAAAAGGAUUGAUUUAGUUUUUCCCAUUUUUAAAUUCAUAUUUUUGUGACUUGUUUUAGGUAGGACCGCAUUGUAUGCUGGGGGAAGGUUCACAGAUGGGUGACAAGUGCAGUGUAAAACGGUCUGUCAUUGGUCGCCACUGUAGGAUAGGUGCCAAUGUUAAGGUGGGUACAUUAUUCUUGCAAUAUAACAGGAAGUUAGUUUUUGGUCCUUUGAUUUAUUUGUAAUACGAUGAUUACUUUUCUAAUGUGUUGUCUUCAAUAAUUUUGUUGAGUUUUCUCUCAUUUGCUUUUAUGUUAUAUUAUAUGUAUGCAGGUUGUUAAUUCCGUAGUUAUGAACCAUGUUACUAUUGGUGACUUUUGUUCAAUCCAAGGUUCUGUCAUUUGCAGCAAUGUACAGCUCCAAGAACGUGCCAUACUAAAAGAUUGUCAAGUAAUUUGUGUCUCCUUUUCUCAGUUUUCUAGAUAUUUUUCAUGCCAAAUUUGUUUGGGAUUUUCUUACAUUGCCUACACUGGCAUUUUUCAUGAUUACUACUACUAUUUAGAUUGAAGUGUUGUGACAUUGUCUAUAUUGGCAGGUUGGAGCAGGUUUCGUGGUCACUUCCGGUAGUGAGCAAAAAGGAGAGGUAUUGGCUAAGAAAUGAAACUGAGAUAUGAAAAUCCAGGGGACGGAAAUGCAUAGCUUCAAUCUGACUUUUCAAGCAAAUUUUGCGCUUUUUGCUGUCCAUAGUUACGUUUCGGAGAUCAUGGCAGAGGAGGAACAAUGAAAUUUGAAUAUUUUCAAUCUAUAGUUUGACUUUUGUGUUUCUGUCAUUUGCGUUUUUAUUCUCUUAUAACUACUAUAGUUUGAAAAUGGCUUCAAUCGGUGUUGAGUUUCUUUUUCUGUGUAAAUGACUACCCAUUGUUUCCUCUUAAUAUCAAACUUCUGUGAUUUAAAUGUAUGUUACAAGAGACUUGGCUGUUGGUAUCAUAUUGCUGCACUAAAGUGGUAUGAUCCUGCGCAAUCAGUUUUGUUAUUGAUCAAAGGAAUACUGUUGACAUUUUAUUCUGUUUAGUUCUGUCUUCUCUUUAUUUACUUGUUAGCAUUUUUUUUCCUCCAGAUCUAGUGACCGAGACCGAUAAUUGAUGUUGGUUAUUGAUCCAUUAACUCUCUUUUCUUUUGUAUGAACUGAUCCAUGCAAAGCUGUAUCAUGAAAGUUUUAGGCACAAGUUACACCAUUGCUGUAUUAUUAGUUGAGUUGUUUAACCAACAAGACAUUCAACAUAGGUGUCAUGACUUCUAUUUUGUUUUCAUCAUUAAGAAUUGAAGUCAUAUCUUGGUUAUCACAAUACUCACUGUGCACGAGUCACUUGCGCUAUACUCCGGUUGUGGUCAUGGUAGUGCUUGAGAAUAAAAAGUUAGUAUGGUUGGAGCCAUUUUUUAAAAACUAAAGAGCCAUUUUGUUGACUCUAAUACCUUCUUCAACAUCUAUUGAAUUGUGAUUUUAUCAAAUUUGCUAGAAUAACUUCCAAUGAGAAUGAAUCUACUUGAUGCUUAAAGUCAAACGUCCCAUGGCCCUCAUUUUAGAUAUUUGAUUAUUAAAAAUGCCAAAGAAAACUACCUUUUCAAUCAAUAAAUAAUUGAAGUUUGGAAAGAAUAAUUUUCCAUCCUAUACAAUUGAAUCUGUCAUUGGAAUCCAACGUGUCCCUCUCAAUACAGUUUUUUUGCUAAUUUAAUAAUAACACAAGUUAGGAUCUUUUCUUUUUUACAGAACAAGUUGGGAUCUUGAAGAGGCCAUUUAAAAUAAAAUAAUAUAAUUUAUGGAAUCUACAUCGUCAUUAAGACGUUUGUUCAACAAAUUACAUAGUUACAGAGGAGAAUCCAAUUUCUCCUACAGAAAAAUAUACAUAUAUUAUUACAAAGAUUGCUUCAACCCCCCAAAUAAACAAAUAUGUUACAUAAAUUGCUACGCAAGUUUGCUUCAACCAAAGUAAUAAUAAUUAUACCCAACUUCUAUAUAAUAAUAUCUUCAUCUUCAUCCAAUUUAUCUCCUACGCCAUUGAAUUCAAUCCAUUUCUUAGACUUGCAAAGAUUCAUGAAAUAAUACAACACUAUCCCUAACAAGGUUAAUAAACCACUAGCCACAAAGACAAUUUUGGUAGCAACCAUCAUCACAUAAACCAAAAGCACUGAUGGAACAAAGCACAUUAGAAUCAAACCAAAGAAUCCAAGUGGAACCCUAAAAGGCCUUUUCAUUGUAGGGAACUUUUUCCUCAACUUAAGGAAAGAAGCAAACUCCAAAAGCAUCCCUAAACUAUACAAGAAAUUCACAGUAGAUAUAAUCUCUGUAAAACUUAAAAGAGUCAUGGACAUUGCUACUAUUGUUGAAAUCAAAAUAGCCAACCAAGGAGUAUUAAACUUUGACCUUUCACCAAAUACUUUUGGUAAAAAUCCCAAAUCAGACAUACCCAAAAGUUGAUAUGCAGCACUACUUAAUUGAGCUUCAAAUAAUCCAAUAAGUGAUAAAACAGCACCAAUUUCCAUCCAAUAUUUCAACCAAUUUCCAGCAAUCAAAUAAGCCACAUUUGCAAAAUACCCAUCAACCCAAACUUUUUGAUCAAGUGGCAUAGCACCAGUAGUAGCCAACAAAGGAAUUAUAUAACUUAAACAAGUUAACAAUCCAGCAAAAAACAAAGCUUUUGGAAAAGUUUUACGUGGCUCUUCAACUUCACCAGCUAAAGUACUAGCAUUAUCCCAAAAAUUCAAGUUCCAAAAAAUUGUAUUAAAAAAAAGUGUCCAAUCUUUUUUCACACCUUCUUCACCUAAACUUACCCAUCUACUAGGAUCAAUCUUAGGCAAUGCAAUCAAAGACAUUAUCACAAAGGGUAAAAGAGAAAUAACACCUAAAACAACUGCAGUAUAACCAACUAUAGCUAAACCAGAGUAAUUCAAAAAAGACAACAAAGAAGUUGAGACAAAAAUUGAGACAUAACGAGGUAAACCUGAAGACAAGACAGGAAUCACAAGUUUGAGGUAAUCUAUACAUAAAACAGGAAAAGAUGCUAAAUUUAUGACACCACUGAAAAAUUUCCAAUAGCCCAUUAAAGAACCCCAAAAUGGGCCAAAAGCUUCAUUAGCCCAAAUAACAAAUCCACCAUUUCCAGGGAAAGUCGUAGCUAAUUCUGCAGUUAAAAGAGCCUCUGGAAUACUCCAAAUAAAAGGGAAAAUUACAAAUCCAAGAAUUGCAAAAAGUGGACCUGCAGCACUUACUGUUGCUUCUUCACCAUAAGGACCACCAGAAACUUCAAAAUAGAUGAGAAAAAUUAGAGGGAGAAGAGCUAGUUUUUUUUGUGAUUUGGUUUUUGGAUUUGAAUCUUCUUCUUCUUCAUCAUCGACCCUUUGGUUUAGAAGAGGUUGAUGAUAUGAAUUUUGUGUUGAAGAAUGAAGGGAAUCAGAAUCAAUAGCACCCAUGUUUGGAUUUUUCUGGAUUUUGGCUUAUGAUGUUGAAAAUUAAGAGUUUGUUUCAAUGUGUAUAUAUAUAUAGUAUAUAUUACAAUUCCAAUGUUAAAGGAGAAUAAGAAUAUAACAAGAUAUAGUAGUAUUUGUUUACCAAUUAUUUGUGUUUAUCUUUUUUUUCUUCUUUUUUUUUGAUUAAAUUAUUUGUGUUUAUCUGACUCACACGUUUAUAUGAUGCUUGUACACAUCUCUUACCCAAUACAACAAGGCAAAGACAUGGUAUAAUUUUUCCAUAUAAUAGUACUGAUGUAAUGUAUUUAUUAUUAAACAACGUAAAUUUAUUUGAAUUACUUGUACAAAAAAAAUUAUUUUGAAUUACUAGUAGUAGUAGUAGUAGUGGCGUACUAUAUAACGUGUACUACAUGUGAUGGUCUAGGAAUUGUAGGGAAGACCCUUAAUUUUUCAGCCUGUAAUUUCGUCAAGCCUUUCAUUUUUCAGCAUAAUAACUUUUUUGUCAAACUUGUUAGUUGUUGGUGGUAGUACCUACCAUAUGGUGUAGAAUUAAGGAUGUGUUUGGUUGCUAUAAGAAAUUAAAAAAAGAUGUUUGAAUUGAGGGAAUGAAAUGGAAUAAAAAGAUAUAGAAUAGAAUAAUGUUUUAUUGUUUGGAUUUGAAAAAUAAUAAUGGAAUGAAAUGAAAUAGGAUGAAAUGAAUUUUAUUUCGUACCACCACUUACUUUCAAUUUUGUUCUUUUUUUUGUUAAUAUUAAAACAAUGGAAUGAAAGAUUUAUUUUAUUUCACUCCAUUUUAUUCCGCUCCGCUCAAUUUCACUGUAUUCCAUCAAUUCAAAUUUUGUUCUUUUUUUUUGUUAAUAUUCAAACAAUGGAAUGAAAGAUUUAUUUUAUUUCACUCCAUUUUAUUCCGCUCUGCUCAAUUUCAUUGUAUUCCAUCAAAUUCAAAUAGGGCUAAAGAGUUUGUGAAAAGAGAAAGGUGAUAAAAGUUGAAUAAAUUUUGGAUGUAUUGUUUAGUAUAAGAGAAAAAUAAAAUAAAAAAUAGAAUUAAAAGUAGUUAAUUAAUUAAUUUGAAUUGAUUUAAGCAUCAUCUCAUAUCCUCAUAUCCAUCACGUGUAGAAUUGAAGUGUAAUGGCUGAAUGCAAUAAUGUCAACGUAUGGGUAUAAUGGAGAUUAAAUAGGCUUAUCAAAAAAAUAAAUGAGAUUAAAUAGAAAAGUGAAUGUUGUCUUUAUUCCCUUUCUUUGUAGCAAGAGGGAGAUUUUUUUUGGCGGGGAUUACACUUUUGGCAAAUGCCGAUUAACUCUUUUUUUGUUUUUUUUUUCUUAUACCAUCAGUUUAAUCUGGUUCGAGGGUUAGUUCUAGCAUCAAGUGGUUUCAGCCUUCUCCCGAUCGCAGUUGUGGGGGAUCGAACUGUGGUCCUCCCUACCAAGUUCAGCGUCAAUCACCACUGAACCAACUAACGAUUGGUAAUGCUGAUUAACUUUUCAUUAUAGUAUCGGUAUCUUUUUAAUAGAAUUUUUAUGAGAAUGCAUAACGUCAAGACAUUAAAAAUUAUAGUGUUUAGUUUUUUUUAAUAAAAAAAAUUCUUUAAAUUGAAUACUCAAAGAGUCCCUGAAAUCACUCGUUAGCAAGACCCAACACUUUUAUCCUCUCUCAUCUCAAUUCCUCUUCUUUUAAAGAUUGAUUCAAUAUCUUUUUGCAAACUCUCUCUUCUCAAGUUCUCUCGGAACUAUUUCAUUGGAAAUAAACAUACUCCCUCUAUCCUUAAUUAUAAGUAAAAGCUCACUUUUCAGAUUCAUGAAUAAUUGAUGUAUGUGGUCUAUAAUAUAGUCUGCAUACAUCAGUUAUAUAUUCAAUAAAUCUAAAAAGUUAAUUUUUGCUUAUAAUUAAGGAUGAAGGGAGUACAAUAAUUAUCAACCUUCAACUCGUGUAGGGAGAAAUAGAUUAAGUAAAUAGAUCGAGUGGGAAAAUAUAGAUUAUGUGAGAUGAGUAGCUUAACUGAUUAAGCUAGUUAAGUUAAGUGUUAAGAAGUCGUAGAUUCAGAGUUCAAACAAGGAGAAAAAUUAACAUAACAUAUACUACAUCACAAUUUACUUAUAAAAAAAAAUUAAGUAAACAGAUUGAACUCAAAUAGUUAAUUAGUUCAGUUUGAGAAUAAAUCAAUCAAAAUAAUAGCUAUUUAAAUUCUUAAAAAAUUACUAAUCAAAUAUUACUUAUAAUUUAAUCGAACUUUAAAUUAUAAAAAAUAAAAUCCACUUCUUUUAAGGAUGAUCAACAUAGUUUAUUUACUUUUAUAAUACCAUUAACUACUUAUUAAAUCAUUACAUUUUUACCAAAAAAAAUAUAAUUACAUUUUUUUUCUCUACAAUAAAUGAGCAAAUAUAGUUUAUGUAGUUUAUGGAUUUUUUUAAGAUGUUAUUUCAAGUAGCGUUUGAGUUGAUAAUUUUUUUUAAAAUCCAUUUAUAACCUCUUUUUUAUUUGAACUGUUAUAUGAACACACUAAUUUUUCUUAGGAUCUCUCUCCUUGAGCUCUCACAUCUCUCUCCCUCAAUGUUCUAUUCUCUCUCUCUACGAGAUCUCUCUCAUGCAUCGUCUCUCUCUUUAUGAUAUACCUUAGCUCAUUGGGAACCGGAAGNNNNNNNNNNNNNNNNNNNNNNNNNNNNNNNNNUGAGAACAGUGUAAUGAUGUUGGUGAGGACAACAUGGUGGUGGUGAGGAUAGAGGACGACAUGCGUUCAUACCAUUUGUAUUUGACUUUUUUGGUCUCCUAGCACAAGAUGUUAUGAAUAUUUUGAAAAAAGUUCAAAUAGUACGCACGGCAAUGUGGUUCUCCUGAAUCUAUAAAUGUAAUAUUUAAGAGGAUUAAUUUUGUCAUCUAAAAAGAAUUAGCGACGCAAUUGUCUGUUUGCCUUCCAUUCAAGUAUGUGUUAAUAAAAUUACAUAAUUAUCCUCCAAAAUGUAUUGCAUUCAAGUAUGUGUUAUUUUUGUGUUGAAAUAAAAUUUCACUACUCUUUUGUGAAAAAAAUAACUAAUAAUUUAAUUUUAUCAAGUUUAAGCGGUGACUUUUACAUGAGAAUGCUUCACUAUUCAAGUAUGUGUUAGUUAUUAAAAUUAUUUUUAAUAACACCAAAAAGUCAAAAUUAACGAGAUGUUGUUUCCUUCACGACGUUCUAAACUUCUAAUCAAUUUUGAAGUGUUGCUUGUUGAUUGGUGGAGGAAGAAGAAACUUCUGAUGUUGUUAGGGUCAAUGAAAUGAAUGAAUGGAUGAAUGAUUGUUCCUUCUCUUCUCCUUCAUCUUCACGUGUUAACCUUGUCCUUAAUGUUAGGAGUGCUUGUUCCAAUGGCAACUCUCAAUAAUUUUAUAAUAAUUGCAUGUGUUUUUCCAAAAUUCAAGCUUUUUGUUGUUUAGUUACUUGGAGUUUAGAAGAAGCAUAAUUCAUUUUCAAAAUGUUGGUCCAACAUUUUUUUAUAUAAGUAGUUUAUUAGAGAUUAAAAUUUCGUUUUUCAAUUGAAUAAGUAGAUAUCAAUAUAGUGUAGUAUAAGUGAUAGAUAUGUUAGUCUCUUAAUUAUUUGAUUCUAGGUUCGAUGUGCGUAUAAAAAAUCAUUUGGUGGGAAAGGUUAACCCCUUAAAUUGAUCUAAAUUAAUUUGAGGGAAUUAGUCUUUGCAGUUGCGCGCGAAAGAUACUUUUAGUUUACCAAAAAAAUUGAAUAGUAUACAUCUUAGAGUUUGAAUGCCAAUCUCGAUUCGCUGCAAUAGAGAGUAGGAGACGAACAUACUUCAGGCUAUUCUAUUUGAAUUAUAACUCGUAUAUUAUAUUAUCCUAUCAACUGAGUUAUGCUAACGAAAACGGAUUGGUCCAACGUCUUUAAAAGCUUAAAUUUAGUGAGGUCUAUUAACCUAUUUAUUUAUUUUUUUAAAAAAAAAACACAAGAAUUUAGUUUUGCUAUAUAUUUAAGCAUUGAAUUCAAGUCCUAGAUAAUAAAUAAACUUUAAAAAUUAAAUUAAAUUAUUUUCUUAUCUUUUUUGUGAAGUAUUCUGGUGACUAGAAAUUUCACAUUUAAGAAGGAUUAGUAAAAUGUCUGGUGUUCGAACCCCAAUCGUUGCAUAUGAAAUACGAUGUUUCAAACAACUGAGUUAAACUAAUCACAUGGACGAAAAUUUCAUUUCCAUUCUAGAAUCUCUUGAACCAUUGACCUAGUACUCAAAACUGACAUUUACUAUCUCCGUUCUUUAUUAUAAGAGACGUGUUAUUUGUAAUCCCGUUAAAUAAUUAAUGCAUUUAAUUUAUAUUAUGCAUUAAAUCCAUCAAUUAUUUAAUAAUUUUAAAAAAUAAUUUGUUUUUUAUAGUAAGAAACAAAUUAAGGAGUAUAUAUUUUGAACAUGCUGUGGAAUUAUGCUGCAAGCUAAUGAGGUUGCUUAUGAUUUAGCUAAGGCGCACACAUAUGUAAUUAGUAUGGUUGAUAUACCUUAUUGUAUCGAACAUCUAUUAAUUGAGCUAUUCUUACAUAGGCACAAGCCUGAAUUAUUUAUUCUUAGGCACACAUACGUAACUUUAAAAAAUUAAAAGAUAAAAGAAUUGAUUAAUAUAAGAUGAUGUGACUAAAUUAUUCAUCUUUAAGUUUUUUUCAAUGAUGUGUGUAUGCCUAAAUAAAAUUGAUUUGGGGUUUUGACCAAGUUAGCAUUUCUCCUAUUGAAUAAUGAAAUGUUAUUAGUUUAUUUUUUUCUAAAAUACAUGGACCUGGAUUUUGUGCAAGUAACUGAUAAUUUUAUGACCGUAUGUUUAAAAGUGAAUGAUCCAAAUUUGAUCAUGAAAAUUAAAAUCUGUCUUUUAAUAAGAACGAUCCUGAAAAAAAAAAGGUUCUGCGUUUGCCGGGAGUCGAACCCGGGUCUAUUGCUUGGAAGGCAAUUAUCCUAACCGUUGGACUACAAACGCUUCAUGCUAUAUCUUUCGAAACAUAAUAUAUUUAAUAGAUAAUACUUUAUUAUUCUUUACAAAUUCUUCACAACUAGCUUCUGCAAUGCAAUUCCUGCGUUUGGGAAAAGAGGGUUCAGAAUCAGAGCUAUAGCUAUGGAAACAAUUCCUAUGAAGACUAUGAUUCCAUCAACUUCACUGAUUCAUAAUCAUGCUAUCAAAAAAACUACACGCAUAACCUCAACUACAAGAAGGACUUCAACUCAAUAUAAACGUUUACGCUUUUCUAUUCAUGCCAAAUUCUCUGAUACCAAUUUUCAAGGUAACCCACUUCACUAUUUCUUGAUUAAUCUAUUAAAAAUCUUAACUUUUUAUGUUUAGCUUCAUUCAAUUGGAUUUUAAUUGUUUUCUUUAUUUUGUGAUUGAUUGAUUUCAUAUCUUAACGUUUUUGUGAUAUUAUGUUAUGAAAUGGAAAGAAAAAAUAUUUUUUUUUGGGAAAUUUGGAUUGUUUUGAGGAUGCUUUUUAAGCAAUUUGGGAGUAUUAGUAGUAAUUUACAUGCUAGUUGUCAAGUAAGGUUGAUUUGGUUUAACACUUUAUGUUGAUUUGCAUAUAGCUGGCCAAUAUAAAACUUUGAUUAUCAUAAGUUAAUAAUAUAAUGAUUAUGUCAUUUGUUUUUUGCUUAAAAGUAAUAAAUUUGAUUUGCAACCUAGUUUUUAAAAAGUUGUAGUAUUUUUGUCAGGCCUAACAAGUAGCAAAUUAAAUAUUUCAGUGUGACGUGCAUUUAGUGAUUAUAGUUGGCUGAUUUUGGUUGUCAAAAUGUGUGUUUGUUUAUCUACAACAUAGUUUAUGUAAAAGUAAUAAAUUUAUACUUUUGGAGUACAUGUUUGAAUUGACAGUGAGUUUGGCAGAAUCACAGCGGACCACCGUGUUUCUUUUACAAAAGCUACAUUUUGGAAUUUCAAAAAAUCACAGUACCACUGUCAAUUCAAGCACACACUUAGUACCCUUGAUGUAUACUUCUCUUUGUUUGCUUUACAAUCAUGCACUCAAAAGCUUGAACUUAACCAGCUUCUGUUAGCAUCGCCUAAAUGGAUGACAGACCUAAUCAGUUCCAUGUUUCUUAGAGUAUAUAUUUUGCACCGAAAAAAAGUACUUUCAUUUAUUAACUCACCAAAGGCCAUUUGUUAACUAUGUAGUCAGCGUUAAUGUUGUGUCUGGUAUUUGUGUUGGUGCUUCCUAACUAUAACUGGUUUGUGCCGCAGAUUUUCGAACUUAUGCCAGACCUUCAGAACUUUUUCCAGCCUCUGAAGUGAAAGUGUACACAAAAACAUCAUUAGAAAAUAUUUUAUCUUCUGUUAAGGAGGAUAAAUCCAAAUCUUUGUUUAGGGUCAAGUUAGUUACCAGCAACUUAUAUGGCUCAAAUAUAAGUGACUCCAAUGCUGGAAUUCUUCUAUGCUUGAUAGAUGAAAAUGGACAUUCCAUAUUGAAGAGAAUACCUGUGAGUUUGAUUACAGAUGAUUCCACAGAGUCAGGAGAUAUACUUCAUUUCCAAAGAGGUUCUGUUGAUGAAUUCAUUUUUGAGGGUCCAAAAAUUGCAAGACUUGAGGCUCUUUGGGUUGGUGUUGAAUCGGGUAUGUUAUUAUUUGUUUAUUUGUUUUUUGAGUGAUUAAGAUUCAGUAGACAUCAUCCUUGACCUUCAAUUUUGAAGUACCUUUUAUCGACACAUUCCCUUAAAUUUGUUUAAGUAACGAGGCAAAUACCCUUUGUGUUAUUUUUUAGCAAGCAUGUGUUAGGUUAUAUUUCUGCUAAAAUUAGGACACAUUCCAGCAACCAACAUAUGAUCUUUGUGAUACUUGAAAAAUAACUGUUGGUUCAAUCAAUUGAGUUCAUCUCUUUAACAAUACUCUUCUUCUCCCUCUAAGGUCAGGUCAAUGGCGCCUAGGAAAUAUCUCCUUGAUAGUCAUGAAUUCUGAAUGGCAACCAUCAUUGCCAGAAGAAGAGGUACCACCGUACACUGGCUUCCAGUACGACUUUCCAGUCGAGGAUGUAUUGCUUGGUGAAGGAACUGAUGUAUCCAUGUUGGAAUUAAGACCUAACCUCGUGACUCAGCUCGAAGGGACUGAUCCUAUAAGUUUAUUCAACAAAGAACUUUACGACAGUACCUUGCUCCUAAGUCCUGAGAUCUCAAAGGAAGAGAGCAUGAAGGAAUACACAAAUUUGAAAUUCUCAUUGCUAUUUUAUGAUGCUGUGCUGAUAUUGUUCGGCACAACAAUUGCUUCUCUUUCAGCUGGUGAAAAUACCGGAUUUGCUUUCUUGAUUGGUGGGAUUGGAGGCUUCUUGUAUCUGUUAUUGUUGCAGAGGUAUGUGGAUGGAUUGCCAGGUUCAGAAUUAAUCACAAGCAAUAAGAGAGGAACUGAUGCAUUGUUCAAAGGAUUAAAGGGUCCUAUAUUAAGUGUGGCAUUGGCUUUAGGGUUUGCUGCAUUAGUAGUAAAGUAUACCUCAGGAGAUGAUAUUGAUAUCUUAACACCAAAAGAUAUCAUAGUUGGAAUGAUGGGAUUUCUUGCAUGUAAAGUUUCUGUGGUGUUGGCUGCAUUUAAGCCUAUAACGGUUGGGCCGGAGGAGGUUACCGAGUGACAUGUAACAUCAUACCCGUGAAUUAUGCUAAUAACACGCCGUCUAACACACUAUUUUAUUGGUUGAAAUGUAUAUGGAUCCCUAUUAAAUUUAUACGUGGCCUACACGAUUUAGUGGAAUCCAUUUGAAAUUUCAACUAAUAGAAGAGUGAGUGUUAAGAUAGUGUGUUGCUAGCGCUCUUCUAAUACCCUUUUAUACUACAAAGGAAGAAUAUUACACACAACUCUAGUGAAUAGUGAUACACUGUGCUAUACAUAACAAGUCAAUACAAUGUUAUAGUUUUUUAGUUAUAUCUUGCAAAUGUGGAUUUAAUUUCUAUGGAUUGUCUAUAUAAUUUUCUUGUUAUAUUGUCAAUAAAUAAUAAUUGUCAGAUCAUUAGAAAUAUUUAACUUUAAUCAUAACUGUUAUGAAAGUCACACAUGGAAUAGUCUCAAAACUCCUUGGCAUCUCAAAGGCUCUUUUGUUAAACUGUUAGUAUGCACUAAAGGCUCUAAAAUGUCAUCUUCUGUUGCAAGUUCUCCAUAACUGCAAGGUUUAUCAUAUUGAGUUGUGUAGUGCAUACAAAUUGUUACUUUUGCUAUUUUUUGUGAACUAUUGUUAUCAAUAUGUGCAGUGCAUUUGGAUAUUAAUCUUGGAUUAUAUUCAAUAUUAAUCGUUGGCUUCAGUAAGCUUAUACAAGCAUUAAUGGAGUGAAGAAGAAUAAUACAAAACUCUGGGACAGUUUUGUUUAAACCGUAAUCCAUAAGAACAUGCGAAUAACCGAUUUGAGAUAAAAACAAAUGUUAUAUGGAAUGACUUUAUUAAAAAUUAAAGCACUAAUGCUACAAAUUAUGUUUGACUAAUUUGAGUUUAACUUCACCAAAUUGGAAGAUUUAUGGUUGACAUAAAUUGGAAGUUCAGUUCAGUCUUUUUAGAUGAGAAACAUUUGAAUUCUGAAAGAAUUAUUGUUGGUGCACUUUAAAUAAGUUAUGUUUUCUAUUAAAAAAAAAAAAAAAAAACUUAAACUAUUCUUUCAACAAGCCUCUGAUUAUUCUGCUUUUAUGUCAUCUAGAACACUGUACUGUACUAGUAUUGUAAAUCAAUGGAAAAAAAUUUAUUAAUACUAUUCCUAACAAUGUUCCUUAUCUGAAAGACUGAAUUUGAAACUAUUCUUUCAACAAGGCUCUGAUUAUUCUGUUUUUAUGUCACCUAGAACACUAGACUGCAUCAGUGCUGCAAAUCAAUGGAAAAAAAGUUAUUAACGUUAUUACUAACAAUGUUUCUUUCAGAAUUCAGAUGUUUCUUAUUUGAAAGGUUGAACUUUUUAAUGUCACAUAGAACACUGUACUACACCAGUACUGCAAAUCAAUGAGGAAAAAAAAAAUAUUUAUAUUAUUACUAACAAUGUUGCUUUCAGAAUUCAUAUGUUUCUUAUUUGAAAGACUCAACUGAACUUUCAACUUUUUCAAAUCACUUUCUAUAUAGUAAUUAGAAAACAUAUUAAUUUGUUUUUAACUGCAAAUAGAUUUAUAUAUCAUGGACCACCUAUGUUCAUGGUCCAUAAGUAGAAGCAGUCUUAUACUUUACUAUAUGUGUGAUAAAAUCACACUUGGAAAUAAUUGAAGUAUAUAUAAAUAUAGGUAAAAAAAACUUGUNNNNNNNNNNNNNNNNNNNNNNNNNCCAGAAACUAGUACUUGGUUUGCUUUUGUAAAUCAUUAGAUAGUUUCUUCAAUAGUUCCAAAUUAUCGCAUCUAUGGUUUUCAAAUUACCACACAUAUUACAUAUAUGAAGGAGAACACCUUUUUUUUUUAACAACCAAAAUGUUAUUUAUAAGUUCAAACAAACGUGAGGCAUUUUUGAAGAGAUAGAGAUAGAGAUAAAUUACACAAUUUUAGGCUAGAAAAAAAAGCAACAAGCUCGUGGAACAGAAACAAUAUAGAAACAAAAAACCAGCUACAACACUUAAAUGAUCUUAAUUUUCCUUCCGGCAAUUUUUUAUUUUUUUUUUGGAUAAAUCCUUUCGGCAAAACUUUGGUUUUUGCAUAGUUUUUAAAUUUGUAUUAUUAAUUUUUUUUUGUCAAGUAGCGCUAGAAAAUUUUGACUUUAAGGUGGAUAAGUGAGAUGACCGAGAUUCGAACCCUGGCCUCUGCAUGUAUAAUACAUUGUCCAUGUCAAUUGAACUAAGCUCACGGGACUUGUAUUACUAAUGUCACUUUAAAUGAUACAGAGUAAUAAUUUUAAAAAAUCACUUUUUUUUUUACGAAAAAAAUUCAUCACUUAUCUAGUCUAAUAUAAUAAAAUUAUUAUUACCAAAUUUACUAAUUUGUCCUUAUCAAUUUUUUUUUUCUUUGCUUCUAUUUUAUUUUGUUCUCUUUAUAAUUGUUUAAUUUCCUCUAAAUUUCAGCUUUUUUUUUUNNNNNNNNNNNNNNNNNNNNNNNNNNNNNNNNNNNNNNNNNNNNNNNNNNNNNNNNNUUUUUUUUUUGCAUUAAUAAAGAUGUGAAUUUUGAAGAUAACUUUCUUCUUAUUUACAAUAUAUGUGUAAUAUCAAUCAUUAUGGUUGUUCUUUCUAUAUUCCUUUUGCAAUUUGCAUGGUGUUUUUUUUAUUUUUUUUUCUUCUUAAUUUCAUAUAUUUGAACCUUGGUACUAUUUGAUCUCAGACUCAGCAGUGCACUUUAAAUAAGUUUUGUUACACUACUACAGCAUCAAUACUGCAAAUCAAUGAAAAGAAAUUAUUAAUACUACUACUACCAACAAUGUUUCUUUCAGAAUUCAGAUUGAAACAUUUGAAAGCCUGAAUUGAACUUCCAAUUAUGUUUUGUNNNNNNNNNNNNNNNNNNNNNNNNNNNNNNNNNNNAUAAAAUGAAACUUUUUGAUCAAUGAAAUACAAAGGAGGAAAAAUAUGACUCAAAUUCUCAAGUUUGUUUAUGCUUUGAUAAUAUUUCUUUCAUUAUUUCUUGUUGUAGCCAAUGGUGGUAAGUCAUUUUUUCACAUUAUUUUCAAUUUUUCUAAAUCAUGUAUUAUGAUCACCCAUGACUAAAAAUAAUUUAUUCUUAUUUGACAAUGUAGGUUUUUUCUUCUGCACAAUAGUUGAUGAUUGUCCAGCUCAAUUGUGUUUCGAAACUCAAAAAUCGCUAUGCAUGGAUUAUAGAUGUGAAUGCAUGUAAGAGUAACAAUUAUGUUGAAAAAUAAUUUUAUCUUACAUGUAUUGUCAAUUUUAUUUAUGCUUUUAUGAUAUUUCAAAUUUUUUGAAAAUCACAAAAGCAAAUUACUAUUAUAUUAUAAUAAAUGACUAAAUAAAUUUGAAGUUCCAAGUCUUGCAUAAUCCAAACUUGUAUAUAGCUAGAUUUAUGUAUAUAAAUAUAAUUGAAGAAAUAUAUCUUUUUACAUCUUUUGGGUGUAAAUGAGGAGUAAUUUACAUUGAUGGAAACCACAGAAAUAUACAUAAAUUUUGUCAUGAAAAAUAAAUAAUUGAUAACCAAAGUGUGGAAAAGAAAAUCAGAUUGGCCUAUAGAUUAAGAUUGUUUUACUGAGUCAGGAACUAAUUUGAUGGUUUACUCGAUCAGAUACUAAUCCAAGAUUUCAGAUGGCCACAUGGAUUUCCAAAUGGAAAUUUCAUUCUCACUCUCAAUCUUUCUUAUUCCUCCAUAAAAUCCAUCAGCCUCAUUUCCUUCCUCUCUAUGAUCUUUCCUAUUGAUAUUAGUUUGUCUCCAUCUUGAGCCAGGAGUGUAAUGGUUGAACUCUAGCACCACUGUGUCUGCAGCAUUCAACAAAUUUAUCAUCAUAUAAACUAUAAUUGAAUCUAAAGAAAACCAUUUCAAGGAUUGGAUAUAAAUAUAACAAGGCUCAUACAAUGAUUCUUGAAGUUUUCAUCUUAACAUCCUAAGUCAUUUUUUUUAUAUAAAACUACACUAGAGGCCCUUUCAUUUAAUUUAAAGUUUCAAACAUGUUCUUAAUAUAUGUUUCAUUUAAAAUUCAGCUCAUGAACGGAUCUAGAUUAUGUGCAGUCAGAAAAAAAGUGACUAUACUGCAGUCGGUCAUAUCUAGACCGUUUGGUUAAAAUCAGAUGGUUUAGAUUUUUAGCUUGAAUUUUAUAUUUAAAAAAGUUAAAAUCUAAUCUUAAAAUCUAGACCAUCCGAUAUUGAUCAGACGGUCCAAAUAUCUUAACAGCAUGCAAUGUGACCACACAAUUCAAUUCCCUCAUGAACAAAGUUGGACCUUGAAUGUGUCCACUGUGUUGCUGGAAAUGAUGAAAUGUCUUGGAGACCAUUCAAAUGGAAUGGCAAGUAGUCCACAUUUAGAUAUAUUCUCUACAAUAUAAUAAUAUAUAAUAGUGGCAGAUCUCACAACUUUUACAUUAAAAAUGUUAAAUCAACAAAUCAGCAUAAAUUAAUAAUGUUCACUCUAUCAUCAAAAUUCCUAGGCAAUUACUUUAUUUAGCCACCACUUUGACAUUUAUUAACUCACCACUAAUAUGACAGCGGCAAGAAUUUUCAUUUCCAUUACAUGAUUCCAAGUGACCAACAAUACCAUACCACCAACCUGCCAUAAAGGUAAAAAUUCAUUAAUAAAAUCAUACUAAUAUGAAAUCUACAAAGUCUCUUUUAUUAAUCAAUGUAUUACAGAUUAAAUUUACAAGAUAUAGAAGUAAUUAGUAGUAUAUAAACAUGGAAUUAGAGAAUGAUUGUGGAGAAAGAAACAAACCAUAAGGAAAUUCUUUGUUUCUCCUCCAUUGAAUCUCUAUGUGAUCACCAGGAUGCAAAUCAGAUAAACAAUCAGAGAUAUACAGAUCAUGUGGAGAGUUAUCAACAGGUGGUGCUCUUAUCCUUUUCCAUGGAAUGCCACAUUCUCUAGCUUCUCCUCUUCUUCCAUGUGCAGGAUACCUGUAAUAAGCAACCAAUCAGCUAUUAGUCCAUUAUUCACAUCAACGAAAGGUAGGCAGACAACAAACUGCGCCACUGAACCUUUCUGUAUAGCAAAACCAAUCCUUCAGAUCUUAAUUUCGUUUUAUUUUCUUGCUAUAUUUUCAUUUGAAAACUCUUGAAAAUUGUUUGUUACUCAAAUCUUAAACCAAUGCGGACAUAUAUAAUACAGAACAGACUCCAUGAAAUGACACAGUUAAGUAUAUGAUCACCUAAAAUCAUGUCAAAUUUACCUUGCUUGAAAGGUAUCGGUUCGCGAAUCAUAGCUAAGGUCAGCAUCAUAGCAAGAUAACAUGAAUCCAAUAUGACCAUUCUACAACAAUAGCAGCAAAAUUGUAACAUGUGAGAAAACACUAUCCAUUAAAUUCCAUUGAAAUUCAAGAAACUGAUUUAACUCUUGCAGGUAUAGCAGGUGUGUAUAAAUUGUUAUUUUGACUCAAAUUUUGACAACAAAUUAGAUGGUUAACACUUAACACAAUUCAAAUAUGGUUAAUUAUGCUUAGUGGAUAGUUAGCUAAUGAACUGCGAUACCUUGUUAUAUUCAUUAACCAUUCAUUGAACUUCGUUAACGACAUAUUUAAAUUUUACCAUCUAAUUUGUUGUCAAACUUGAUUUCAAAAUAUCAUUUUCCUAAAAAAAAUGACCAAAGGGUUAUCGCAGAUACCUCGCGGUUAUAGACUUGAGCAGGGAACCAGAAGCUACCAUUUUCAAUAGCAAGAUACCAAUUCAUAACAGAAUCGACAGGCAAUGAACUACUAUCCUUGCAGAUAUCAUUUGCAUCGUCAACCUUUACUUUCAUCCAUUGUAAAGGCCACAAAAGAGAGAAAUAUCUCAUCAAUAGCCCCUUUUGCUUGCCAUGUUUAAGAUCCUUAAUAUCCCUUUUUGAAGCAACAUACCAUUUCCAUUCCCUAUAAGCAGCUUGACCAAUAACUCCACUCCAUUUCUUCUUCAUCUGUCUCUCCCAAAAAUAAUCACUCAGACACCUCUCUCUCAAUGAAUGACAAACAUUAGCCAUUUGACAAAGUGAAGAAGGAGGUAACUUUUCAAGUAUGCAUUCCAAAGUUAACUCAGGCAAAUCCAUCAAUGACAAUUCCUCCUCAUGAUUCUCUUCAACAUUCUCUACUCUUGAACUCAGAUUCUUCCUCAUCAAAGACAUCCUUGUAUAAAUUUCACAAAGUAAACCAAUCCAAAGAUGAUUCUUAAACAACUUUGAGAAUGUUUUUAAAGAUGUUUUCAAAGACAAUACUUGAUGAAGAAACUUCAUAUCAUUUUCACAUGACAGUGAUUUGAGGUAAAAUAUAGAGUUUAUAUACAAGAAGCAAGAGAUGCAAGUUAUUAUGAAGUAAAGUAACAUUAGAAAAUCUUUUACGGGUCAAACUUGAAUUUGGUAUAUGAGAUAAGAGAGCCUCCAAGGCCUUAUGUGGAAAGGAAAAGUAAUGACUUUAUUUGUUAUUUAAGGUAAUCGAAAGAAAAGUAUAAUGAAAUCUCACUACUUAACCAAAACUUUGAAGCAAAUUUGGUAUCUUCAAACAAACACCUUUUAAAGAAUUGGCUUAUUUUAAUCAGUUCAAAGAGACCCUACCAAGAAACUCAAUGGUAGGCCUCUCACCAAGGUUUGAACAGAAAAAAUAAGGUUGACAAAUAUGCCGACGAAUUGGAGUGGAAAUUGCCUUGACUUGAAGGAUCAAAUUCGAACUACUAAGUUUUAAAUUGCAAUCGCAGUUAAUGUAGAGUUACUGUCUUUGAUAUUGCAGAGACAUAUGGUAAAAUAUAAUUGACGCGGCCUGAAUUGCAAUCGUAUUGCAGUCUCACCGGCAUAAAAAAUUAUAAUAUCGCGGCCCUAGAUUAUGGCCGCGAACCUAUUUUUAAAACUCUGCACAAAAAUUAGAUGAAACCUUUGAAAUACUUCUAUCUAUGCCUUUGUUAUUGGCUUCCCACAAUAAAAAAAGGAAGAAAACAAAUGUCAUUCAAUGAUUGAAUGUUUGUGACCAGACAUGACACGGUAAUUGAUACAUCGACACCAAUAAUAAUUUGAGAAACUAAUAUAAUUCAAUGUAAUUAUAAGUGUCAGUGUCGUGUUAAUAUCUGACACCUACAUGUGUCCGACACUGGAACACGCCUAAUCUGAAGAGUGUAUGUGUUUCACACUUAAAAGGAAUCCUAUGAGAGGAGGAUUCUGAAGAAAUGUGGGGCACCAAAAUUAGAUAUCAUGUUAUGUGACACCUGGACAAUGGGAUUUGCAAAAAUGGCAAGAAAAUGAUACAACAAGUCUAGAUGCAAAGACUCAAAUAUAAAGAAUCUCAAUAUCUCUUGUGCAAAAGGAAUUGAAUUGAAUAUAUUGAUAUGGGAAUGAUAUGUACAUAGAACAAAUCUUUGGUAGUUGAAAAUGAAGCAGUGAUAGGUCCACACAAUAACAAAUGUAUAGAGAAGAUCAAAAGAGUUUGGUUGGUGAUGAAUGUUGAAGGGUGUGUGGCGGUGGGUAGGGUAUGUCCUUUUCUCCACCUCCUCACUUCAACAAUUUCUUCACCAUACCUCAAUUAUUCUCUCUUUAUUCAAAGAAUUCAAAGGUUUAUUUUGCACUUUUUGUCGUUGAAGCAAUUUAGCAAACAGUUGAUGGACAACAAAAGAGAGAUAAAAAAUAAAACCGUGACUCAUUUCAACAGUCUCUCACAAAAAUAAAAUGUAAAUUAGUAUUGUAUCUAACAUAUUCAAGAACUACUUUGUUUUAAUUAUAAAAAUAUCAUAGAUUAUUUUGAAUUUUAUUUUUAUCGAAAUGAAUUGAAUUUUAAAAAAAUUAAGAAGACUAAAAUAUAUCACUACAAAAAAAUAAAGUUGUCACAUUUUGUGGAAUAAGAAAAGAAUGGGCGGCUAUGGUUGAAGUAUUUUGUGUGUGGAUGUCAAACGCAUUUCUACUUCCUAGAUUCUUUGGUCCAAUCAAGUAUCCUUAUCCUUAUAUUAAAAGUAUUGAUAAUUAAAUUAAAGAUUUAGAUGAGUCAAAAAAUAAAUUAAAGAUUUAUUAGAUCAAAAUAUUCGUCUUUAUAAAAAAAAAAAUUUAGAUCAAAAUAAAAUAAUACUUACUAGUAUAUGUUAUUGCACUCUUUGGAUUGCUCCACCAUGGGCCUUUAAAAAUAAUUUUUAAUAUUUAAUUAGUAUUUUUUUAAAAUAAUUGUUAUUUUUAUAAUAAAUAUAAAAAAAAAUAGUUUAUGCAUAUAAACAGAAGUAUAAAAGUGGUACUACUUACGUAUAAUCGGAAUGACCGAAAAACUUAUUAUGCUUGCGUGCCUCGAAGGAAAAUCUCCCAAGAAAUGAACCGAUGCAAGCGGUCGAUGAAACCGAAAGUUUUGGACAAUUAUUCACCGACAUUGUUACUACAAACAUGAUCACCUUCAACCCAACGAUUGUUUGAACAAGUGAAGGGGAAAACCGCUUCAAUGGCGGAGGAAGAGGAGGAGGAAUGUUGUCCACUUGCAUCGUGAUAGCAUGCUUCGUUGUAACCAUUUCAAUUUCCGAGUUCGGACCAUGACCAUUAUGAGCAUUCUCUACUGGAAUAUCUGCUUGAAUUGUUGGAUUUAGGGUAUUGGUAGAUGUUGAGGGAGAAUUCUCUGCAUGAAUAUAUCUCUGCUUGAAUCAGACCAUGAUCAUUCUCUGCUGGAAUUUCUGAUGAGGGCGUAUGUUGAGGGUUUAUUUUAAAAUUUAGUUUAUUAAUUAUUUAAUUUAUUUAUUUUAACACAUGGACGCACGCACACACACGAUUGUACGCAUGCACGCAUAUAAACACACACUAAAUGAGAAAAAAAAUAGGUGUCACUAAAAUUGUGGUGCCAUGAGCAUUAUAUAUAGAGACUAGCUAGAGAAAUACGCUUAUAUAUAGAGAGACCAUGUGUCUAUGUCCGACCGCAAAGAUAGAAACAUAGCUCAAUGGUUCUAUUAAUACGGGGCAGAGGGCCUAUUUAAUUAUUUUCUUUUUAUGGAAACUUAUAUUUAUACAUAUAUUAAUACAAGAUCAUUUUUUUGCAAUUUUUUUACUGGGAUUGAUAUUUACACUCUUAUAAAUACGAGUGCCUUUUUUUUAAUUUACACGAGGGCUCAUAUUUAUACUCAUAUAUUAAUAUAGAUGUCGUUUUUUUUUUUAAUUUACAGUGUCUACUUUUUUUUGGUAAUUUCUACGGGAAAGCGAGAGAAAACAUCAUAUUGUUGAGAAUGGGAAAAAACACCGUACUUUAUUUUGUAUGUAACGCUUACAAUACAUUUUUAAUAUUAUUUUUGUUUUAUCGUAAAACUUUAUUUUCUUUUUUAACGAGUGGAUUAAAAAUAAUAGAAAUUUAUUCCUUUUUUAUGCUAAUUGGUUUUCGUGGAAACCAUGAUGAUCCACGAGAUAAGGAUGGGGAGAAGGCAGGAAAUGGGGAUGCGGAUGCCCAUACUCAAUUGACAUUAAUUAUUUAAUAUAAAUUACAUUUUUACUGUUUGUUGUUUAAACAAAACCAAUUACACUCGAUACAUGAAAAUGAAGUUAUACUAAAUACAAUUUAAGAUUAUAAUCUAAAAUAAUUUAUAUUUUCACGAGUGAAAAUUAACCCGUGCUUAGCACGGAUAAGUUAUACUAAUACUUACUAGUAUAUGUUAUUUUGGGAAUCUUGCCCUCCAGUUUUAUCUAUGAUUAUUAUUAUGUUGAUUGAUGUUAUUGGACACUUUGAGAUCUAGGCCUUAUAUUCUUUUUCCCUUAUUUAUUUUCCUAUUGAUCAAAAUAUAAAUUCGGAUUUGGAUCAUCUCCUCUCGAAAAUAUUUUACAUCUUUUACUAUACCUUACUAUAAAUAGUAUGAUGAUAAAGCAUAAAUAAAUUUUCUCUCUCAAAGAAUAAACUUGUAAAAUAACAUCCACAAUUAAUAAAUUUAUCACGAGAAGUGCUAGCUACACACUCUUUAACAAACACACUCUAACACACUCUCUUCUAUUGAUUAAAAUUUAUAAGGGUCCCAUAAAAAUUAUAUAGAUCUACAUUUUUUUAUGGGACCCAUGUGAAUUUCAACCAAUAAAAAAGAGUGUGUUGGAGUGUGUUUGUUAAAGAGUGUGUUGCCAGCAUUAUUCAAUUUAUCACUACUACUAAUGAAGUAUAUACUCUAUAUGAGUUGAGGUAUGCUCCAUUAACUUAUCUUCCAUUUUUCUUCCGGUCCUUACUUAGAUCGUGACACGUGGAUAAAAAUUAAUCAAUGGUCCAGAUUAAAAAUUGAAAAAAAGUUUUAACAACAUCAUGUUUGUCUUCUUCCUUUGUCACUCGUCCUCUUCCUCUAUCGUGCUUCAUUUUCCUCUCAUCACCGUUUGCCAUUGUCACUGACUCCGGCAAUCCCUACGCCGCUCGCCACCGUCUUAGUGACGGCGUUAUCCCUCUACGUUCAUUCUAAUCUGCAGAAUCUUAAAAUUACAUUUUUUCCCUUUUCUAAUUACAGUCUCAAAUUGAAUGCAACACCACCAAACAAUAAUUUCAAUCAAUCAAUCUUGAAUGACAAACUUAAGUUUCAAUCAAACAAUCUUCAAACUGAAAAAAUGGGGAGAUGGCGGCACAAAGAAGACACCACGAUGGCAAGCUGCGGCGGAUGUGAAAAUAGCGGUGAACGGCACUGUAACGAACAUAGAGGGAAGAUGUCAGCGAUCUUCUCUAGGACCGAAAGAGAUGUGAUCCCAGCCGAGCGUGUUUAGAAAAAGAGGGAGAGUUGUACGGUGGAGGAAAAUGAAUAGUGGUAGUAGUGCAUAGGAGGAAAGAAGACAAAACAUAUUUUACGGUGUUUUAUUUUUUUUAUUAAACAAAAUACUUAUUUUAAUCUGGACCAUUGAUUAAUUUUUAUCUACGUGUCACGAUCUAAGUAAGGACUGAAAGAAAAAUGGAGGAUAAGGUAAUGUAGCAUACCUGAACUCACUCUAUAUUUAAGAAAACAACACACUAUAACAAAAAUUAAAAUUGAGAGUUAAUUAAUACUUUGGACACUUCUUUCAUCUAGUAUUUCUUUUUCUAUCUCUUUCAUUUAAAUUUCAAAAUUCAUUCUCUAUUUUUUGAAAUAUCCUGUUUUUUUUUUACAAAUUUUGAAAUAUCUUUUAACCACCUUUUUCUAUCUCUCUUCAUUUUUCUCUUCUCUUUCAUUACAACUUUUUUUCCACCACCAGUAUCCGGCCAGGCCAACUGGACCGCCUAAUCUGGUUCGGAGGUCAAUUCUAACAUCAAGUGUUUCCAACCUCCUCCCAAUCGUAGUAGCAGGAGAUCGAACCGUGAUCUUCCUUACCAAAUCCGCCAAUUACAACUUUUUUCUAUUCCAUCUCACUUUCUAACUCUUACUUUCUCCACUAUCUUCAAUCAAAUUCAUUUUUCACUCACAAUUUGUAAUGGAUCAACCUAAUAUAACAAUGAUUAUUAGUCCUUUCAAAGAGUCUCAAUUUUGACAUUUAAUGUGUAAUACAUUAAUUUAAGGCAUUAUUGACAUAUAUAUCAUAUCAGAUAAUAGAAGCUAUUAGUCAGGUUAAGUAAUUUAUAAUGAACUUGUCUCAUAUUUAUAUGUGGAUAUCAUUACAAAGCCAUAGAUUCCUAUUACAUUCAAAAAUACGAGUCUAAGACUAUAUGAUUUUAAAAUGAAGGAUUAGUUUUUGUUUUUAUCAUAUCAUGAUGUCUGAGGUUUGCAGCUGCACCAAUUCAUAUAACUCAAAACAUUCUUCCCUCUCCCCUGCAAAAUUAUAAACAACAUGAAUUAGAAAAUGUUUGCACCAAUUCAUUUUAUUUUUUUUUUAUUGAAAAAACUAAGAUCAUAUGCCUCACCAUGGCAGGACGAUCUGAACGACCAUGAUCGUGUUGAUUAUAUCGCGAACAACUAGUAAAAUGCUCUUGACCAUGAUGACGAUGAUAACUCGUAGCAGCUUUAGCAGCUUUUUUGGCAAACCUUGAAUCAUUCCUAAUGCUGUCACGCCUAGUCAAAUAUGUUUUAAGAUUUUUCUUGUUUUCACGAGCUUGGAAGAAUAACAAGGAGUAAUCUGUUGGUACUCCUUUCGACUUAUUAUCCCACCCUCCAAAUUGUGGCACAGACAUCUUAUAAGGUCUCUUCUACAUAUACAUAAUAUUUUAAGUUAGUAACAUCUUAUUUGGAUAUAUACUGUACAUCUGCUGGAGUAGAUAAUUCUGAUAGCUAGGUUGUUUAUUAAUUUUACAAUAUUAAACAUUAUUUAUAAACCUAUCAAAAUUAUCCACUUCAGCGGUGUAUCAUAUUUGUUUCUAAAAUUUAUGCUAUUUUAUAGUUUCUUUACCAACAUUGCACCUAACAUUGAUUCAUGUGCGUUAAGUUAAUCAACAGGGUAUGGAUCAAAGCUAGGUGCAAUAGUUGCUCAAAAGGGUUACAUAAUUAUAUUAUUUUAGGGAAAUCAAAACACAACCAAGAAAAGUCUACAAGCAUGCAAUAACAAAUUAGUAAUAUUUAAAUAACUAAGAUCAUAUGUCUCACCAUGACAGGAGGAUCAUCUUGAUGAUCAUUAUCAGGGUGAUUAUGUAGCAAACCAUCAUAAGGACUACCACGACCACGACCAUUACCAUUACCAUGACGAUGAUUUGUAGUAUUGGAGACAACCCUUUGAUCAUUCCCACCGUUGAGACGCUUGAAUUCAGAAAAAUCUGGUUUAUGAUUCUUCUUGUUUUCGCGAGCUUGGUUGAACACCAUGGAGUAGUCGGUUGGUACUCCUUUAGGCUUAUCUUCCCACCCUCCAAAUUGUGGCACAGACGUCUUAAAAGGUCUCUUCUGCAUAUAUAUAAUUUGGUUUGAUAUUGCUAAAAAAAUUUGAGUCUCUAACAUUUAGCGACGUAAUUUGAGACAUAUUUUGCAAUUUUUCAUCUCUAGUUUCCGUCGCUAUUUCAACUUUUUAUUGUAGUUGAUAUAUUUAGUAAAUUGAAAAUGAAGAUUGCAUUAGCUUGAAUUUCAUCUAUAUAUUAAAUUGCAUGAGAACAUAUUAUAAAAUGAGAAUGAGGACUUCAAUCAAAAUGUGCAUAUUGUUGUUUUUCAUGCAUGAACCAUAUGUUGAUAGUGAUAUCCAUUAUGGUUCAUGAUGAACAUACAUCCAUUAUAGUUUGAUCAAAUAGGUAAUGAUGACUAAUAAGCUUUUCACACCAAAACAUAAAUUUACCCAUUUUGUUCUCGCGAGCUGCCCUGCAAAAAUCUUACGCUAAUAAGCCAAAAGCCGAUGCUAACAGUUAUAUAGCAUAGGCGUAGCAUUGAAGUCUUGGCACCAAGACUCCAAGUUUUCGCAUCUCCUUGUUAUCAUUUUUUGCAAUAUUAUACAAUUUUAAAACCAAAAACAAAG